AAAGUGUAGGCUGAUAAUCACCCAGGCUUGCUACUCCGAGAAAGCGAUGAGUUUCGCAGAGGAAAACGACGUGAAGGUCAUGUGCAUCGACACCCCACCGGAGGGUUGCCUGCACUUCUCGGAGCUGACGAACGCCGACGAGGCCGACCUCCCCACCGUGAAAAUCAACCCGGACGAUGUCGUCGCGCUUCCGUACUCAUCCGGCACCACCGGGCUCCCGAAAGGAGUGAUGCUGACCCACAGGGGGCAGGUCACCAGCGUGGCCCAGCAAGUCGACGGCGACAACCCCAACCUGUAUUUCCACAGUGAGGACGUCAUCCUCUGCGUGUUGCCAUUGUUCCACGUCUACUCUCUGAACUCAGUUCUGCUCUGCGGAUUGAGAGUUGGUGCAGCAAUUCUGAUUAUGCAGAAGUUUGAGAUAAUCAAAUUGCUGGAGCUUAUUAAUAAGUAUAAGGUCACAAUUGCACCGUUCGUCCCGCCGAUCGUGUUGGCGAUUGCGAAGAGUCCGGUGGUGGAUGAGUACGACCUUUCCUCCAUCAGAACUGUCAUGUCCGGUGCUGCUCCCAUGGGUAAAGAGCUUGAAGACACUGUCAGAGCCAAGCUCCCUAACGCCAAGCUUGGACAGGUAAUUUUCAUAUUUAUUUAUUUUUUCAUCCACCACGUUUUUACCUCCCAAAAAUUUCUCACUGUUUUUAAAUACUAUAUUGUAAUUUACCAUCGAAAACACCCUUGUUUUGAAAAUCAUUUAAAUCCUAUAAUUAAAGGAAAUAAAUAACUUUUUAAAUCGACAUAAUAUUUUACUAUUUUACGCUUUUUACCCAAUUGUCCAUGCAUUUGUCCAAGAAAUUCAUAAAAUCCUUAGGAGGGCUGAGGGUAAAAUUGGAAUGUUUGCAUGUAUGGCAGGGCUACGGGAUGACAGAGGCGGGACCCGUGUUGGCAAUGUGCUUGGCCUUUGCCAAAGAGCCAUUCGAGAUCAAGUCUGGGUCUUGUGGCACAGUGGUCAGAAAUGCUCAAAUGAAGAUCCUCGAUCCCGAUACCGGUGCCUCUCUUCCCCGGAAUCAGCCCGGAGAAAUUUGCAUCCGAGGCCAUCAGAUCAUGAAAGGUAUGCAGAUCUUAUCUACAGUAAUUCUAUUACCUUCCGAUUUUAUCUGAUCCAAUUACUAUAACGGAAUUGAAUACUUUGAAUUAUAAUUAAUUUUUUUAAAAAAUAAUAUUUUGGAAAAAAUUUAGCUUUGAAUAAGUCUUUGAGAAGUGUCAACAUUAUGGGGCGUGAAUGAAAUUGGGGCCUUUUCUAUGGUUUCAGUGAUCACUAUUUUAAAAGGAAUGAAAUUUCUUUUGGAAAAUGAAUUAUUGUUAGUAUAAUAGUGUUAUUCAAAUUUUACUUGUUAAAUUAACAAAAUAUUUUCUUAUAAGUAAAUCUUAUUUUAGGUAAAGGGGUAGGUGGGUGGGAAAUUAACCAUAGAGGAUCACCCCACAUGGGUUGUGGUUGGUGGGAAGAUGUAACAACGUUUUAAUAGGAAAAAAAUGGAAAAAUUGCCAGCAAAUCAUUUUGAUUUUUUCCCUUAUUUCUCUAUCUAUGAUUCAAGGGUGGAAUCCUUUGUACAAUGAUUGUACUAAGAAUACAUCGAUAGGAAGAAAAGCUUGCACUCAACCUUCAUCUUGCGCACCAGCCUACCUAUCUCUCUCUCUCUCGGUUUUAUUAAUUAAUUAAUUAAUUUAUUUAUGAUGCGUCCGACCAUUCAACUCAUUAGAACCAAAAUAUUAUUAUUAUUAUUAUUUUGUCAUAUUGUCCAUCUAAAGCUUAUAAUAUAUGAAUUUUAAUCAUUUUGAAUGUUGGCUUAUUUAGGGAAUAAAAAAUUUAUUGUUUAUUUAUUUAUUUAUUUGUUAAAACAUCUUUUAAUUUUCCUUUUUCUCAUAUUAUUAAGUUCGGUUGAAAAUUUUAAUAAAUUAAGCUUUUUUUAAUUAAUUUUUUUAUUGUUUAUUGUUUAUUGUUUAGGUUAUCUGAAUGAUCCAGAGGCCACAGAAAGAACCAUAGAUAAAGAAGGAUGGCUGCACACAGGUGACAUCGGAUAUAUUGAUGAUGAUGAUGAGCUUUUCAUUGUUGAUAGGCUAAAAGAGUUGAUCAAAUAUAAGGGAUUUCAAGUCGCACCUGCUGAGCUUGAAGCAAUGUUAAUUGCACAUCCCAAUGUUUCUGAUGCCGCUGUUGUUUCGUAAGUUUCUAUCCUUAUUUAAUUUUAUUAUCAUAAUAUAACUAAUAUAUAUAUCUAUAUAUAUAUAUGUCUUUUUUUUUUUUUAAGUAUUUUCCAAGAACCAAACCUAAUCUAGGUGUUGAAAUUCAUUAUUUUAUAAAUUUUAGGAUGAAAGAUGAGGCCGCUGGGGAGGUUCCUGUUGCAUUCAUUGUGAGAUCGAAUGGUUCGAAGAUCACUGAGGAUGAGAUCAAGCAAUAUAUCUCAAAGCAGGUAAAAAUAAAUGUGUGAUAAAAAUUAUGAUUUGCUUGUAAUUAGAAUAUGAGUUAUUUCUAGACUUAGAAAAUAAAUGACACAUGAAACAUGUUAAAUUCGUACAUUUUUCUUAUUUUCGAAAGCAUAAGCAUCUAAAUAGAAAAUUAUUUAUUUAUCAUAGGACAUGUUCAUCAAAUUGAUUUGGAAGUUCUCCCAUGUUUAUUUCUUAGCAAAAAGACAUGCAUGUAUAUUUUAUGUAAAUUUUAAUGCUUAUUUGAUUUUGAUCGAUGUUACUUAUGUAUUAAACAGGUCGUGUUCUAUAAAAGGAUUUAUCGAGUUUUCUUCGUAGAGACAAUUCCUAAAGCUCCAUCGGGUAAAAUCCUGCGAAAAGACUUGAGAGCAAGGCUGGCCGUUGGUGUUCCGAAUUAAUCCUUGUGUGAGAGUUUAUAAAUUACCUAAAAUGAGCGUGAGAACCAUGGGCAUACAUGGAGUAAUUUUCUGUUCUUUUCUUUUCUAGUUGGAAAGGAAAGGAAAAAACAUUCAGCUAUGUUUAAAUGAUGUUACUACCUCAUGCCUUUGUAUUGGAUUUAUUGAUAUGUUUCACUUGGGUGGAGAAGGGAAAGAAAUUCUAAGCUUCGUAUGGAAUUGUUUUACUAUGAAUUUGUUUAAUUAUCAAUGUAUAUGGUAAUAUGGACAACCACUCAUCAAAAAUGAUGUAUAACAUGUUUCAUGUUUGAUGGAAUCCAUAUCAAACUUUUAUUUUGGAUUGCUUUUUAAUUGAUUAUUUUGGUUUGAUAGAUGCUAUUAAUUAGCUCUUUGGUAAUUCAAAAUCUAUGGUCGUCUUUGACCCUUUUAAAAUUCGUAUUGUCAAGUGAAUAAUAUCUUAGUGAUUAAGGAUAACACUGGGAAGAAAAUUUUCAGGUACCGACUCCAUUCCCUCCUAAUAAAACGAGUUUGAGAGAAGUUUAAUUAGGUUAGCAAAGUGAGUUUGAAAAUUUUUAUAAAAUUCAUAUUGGAUUCAAAUAUCACCUUAUCCUUGCCUUGCAUCAUAUGUAUCUUACAUAUGAAUAAAUAUAAAAUAAUUUAAUUUAAUUAUUUUUAUUUUUUUCUUUUUUAGCAUAUAUAAAAUAAAAGUCUAUUUGGUAUCAAGAUAAAUUUAUCUAUAAAUUAUAUUUAUUUUUUAUACAAUUAAAAUAUUUAAAAAAAUAUGAAAAAAAAUAAAAAAUUAAAUUGUUCUCGAAUCCGUAGUCUUGUCUCAUUUAUAUGAGGAUAAAAAUUGAUUUAAAUUAUUAAAGUGAAGUGAGAGUAAGGAUGAGCUGUAUUGAACCUUUUCCGUUGUCAUCCCUCACUAGCCUUAAAAAUAAAAAUAAUUUGCCCUAAUAUGAAAACCUGUUUAUUCCAAAAUUAUGGUGUCUUGACCCUGAGAGUUGAUGGCUUCUCUUCAAAGUACAAUUGAAUGAUGAUGGAUCGUUGAAAAGUUUCAACUUGCUAUUACUUUUAAGUCCUAUGGCUGAUUGUUCAUUUUGUAUUAAAAAUAUAUAACCCUAUUCAACCUUUGAAAUUUGGAAAAUGGAUCCUUAUAAAACUCACAUCAUGGUAUGAUUACUUUAUUGCACGUUGAGGAUGAAUAAACAUCAAAAGUCAAUCCAUAUUCUAGUGGAUAAGUGACUUGUAACACCAUCCUAAUAUCUAUCCAAAACUUAGCACCUUCAUUUUUAAUUUGAAGAGUUUUCACCACAAAUAACCCAUUUUUUUUUAUUUAAAAAAAAACAAAUCAUAAACUAAACCUCUCUAUUUUAAUACAUAAACAUCCACGUCAUAAAAUCGUAUUUGAUGACUACGGUUUUAAAGUUUUUUUUUUAAAGUAGUCAAAACUAUGGUAAUUAAUUAUGAUUUUAAUUUUAAAUUUAAAACCAUAAUUGAUAAAUAUGAUUUUGAUCAUUUAAAAAAAAAUGAAAAUUACAAUCACAAACUAAAGUUUAAAGUUUAAAGUUAAAGUUAUAGUUGAUAAUUACGAUUUUGAACUUAAAUAUAAAGCUAUAGUUAUGAACUACAAUUUUGACUUAAUCUUUAUAUAUAUAUAUAUAUUAGGGUUGUUCUAUGGUACCCACUCUUCAUUUUGGGGGUACCUACCCACAUUUGACCCCAAUAAAAAUAUGAUAUGUGUAAAGUACAUAUCAUUAAAAAAUUUAUAAAAACUUAUCAAACCGGUAAAGAUGACUUGUUGGUGAGAAAUAAUCACAUGCAUUUCAUAUAUAUCUAAAUAUUACAAUUAUUUAUAAUUUAUUAUUAAAUAUUAAAUAUAAUUUGUUAUUUAAUGCAUUACCUAACCCUAUCUAAAAAAAGAAAAUCUUACCUACUACUCUUAUACUCUCAUUAUUCAUAUAUAAAAAAAAAGGAUAGUAAUUUAAUAUGAAAAUUAAAUAAUUUCAACUACCAAAUUACAAAAUAUGUAAGAUGUAUUUUGAUGAAUCAAAUUUCAAGAUCAAGUUCAAAACUUUUUGAGAGAGAAAAUUUAAAAUUUGUAUUAUAUGAAGAAGAUGAAGGAUUUCAAGUGAUUACAAGUGUCAAAGGUAAUAUUUGAUAUUUUUUUAUCCAAAUAUAAUUGUUGUAGGAAGAAAUGUGAUGUUAAAUAAUGAUUUUAGAAUUUUUUAUGAGUUUAUUAUAAAAUUUUGCUAUCAAAUUGUUAUUAAUAUUUUUUUAUAAUUUUUUUUGUUCAUAAAUUAAAUUUGAAGAUGAAGCUUUAUAUGUCUUGAAGGAUGUCAAGUGAUUACAAGUGUUAAAAGGUAACAUUUGAUUUUUUUUCUCCAUUUACAUAUACCUAUUGUAGGUAGAAAUGUCAUGUUAAAUGACAUUUAAAUAUGUAAUGAUUUAUAAUAUCUAGAUUUUUUAAUUUUUUUCUGAGUUAUUUUUAAUCAAAUUGAGAGCAUUUAGUAAUUUGUUAUGAAAUUGUCAUCAAUAUUUUGUAAGAGAGGAUAUGAACUUUCUAAGGGAGGGUACAAACUUUCUAAGGGUGGGAAUGAACUUUCUAAGGGAGGGUACGAACUUUCUAAGGGUGAGUACGAACUUUCUAAGGGUGGAUACGGACUUUCUAAGGAGGGUACGAACUUUCUAAGGGAGGGUACAAACUUUCUAAGGGUGGGUACGAACUUUCUAAGGGAGGGUACGAACUUUCUAAGGGUGGGUACGAACUUUCUAAGGGAGGGUACGAACUUUCUAAGAGUGGGUACGAACUUUCUAAUGGAGGUUACAAACUUUCUAAGGGUGGGUACGAACUUUCUAAGGGUGGGUACAAACUUUAUAAGAGAUGGUACGAAACUUUCUACAAACUUUCUAAGGGAGGGUACGAACUUUCUAAUGGUGGGUACGAACUUUUCUAAGAGUGGGUACGAACUUUUGUAAGGGAGGGUACUAACUUUUCUAAAGGAGGCUACAAACUUUCUAANGGAGGGUACGAUCUUUCUCACGGAGGGUACGAACUUUCUAAAGGAAGGGUACCAACUUUCCAAGGGUGGGUACCAACUUUCCAAAGGGUGGGUNNNNNNNNNNNNNNNNNNNNNNNNNNNNNNNNNNNNNNNNNNNNNNNNNNNNNNNNNNNNNNNNNNNNNNNNNNNNNNNNNNNNNNNNNNNNNNNNNNNNAAAUUGAGAGCAUUUAGUAAUUUGUUAUGAAAUUGUCAUCAAUAUUUUGUAAGAGAGGAUAUGAACUUUCUAAGGGAGGGUAUGAACUUUCUAAGGGAGGGUACGAACUUUCUAAGGGAUGGUACGAACUUUCUAAGGGUGGGUACGAACUUUCUAAGGGAGGGUACGAACUUUCUAAGGGAGGGUACGAACUUUCUAAGGGUGGGUACGAACUUUCUAAGGGAGGGUACGAACUUUCUAAGGGAGGGUACAAACUUUCUAAGGGAGGGUACGAACUUUCUAAGGGUGGGUACGAACUUUCUAAGGGAGGGUACGAACUUUCUAAGGGAGGGUACGAACUUUCUAAGGGUGGGUACGAACUUUCUAAGGGAGGGUACGAACUUUCUAAGGGAGGGUACGAACUUUCUAAGGGUGGGUACGAACUUUCUAAGGGAGGGUACGAACUUUCUAACGGAGGGUACGAACUUUCUAAGGGAGGGUACGAACUUUAUAAGGGUGGGUACAAACUUUCUAAGGGAGGGUACGAACUUUCUAAGGGUGGGUACGAACUUUCUAAGGGAGGGUACGAACUUUCUAACGGAGGGUACGAACUUUCUAAGGGAGGGUACGAACUUUCUAAGGGUGGGUACGAACUUUCUAGGAGGGUACGAACUUUCUAAGGGAGGGUACGAACUUUCUAAUGGUGGGUACGAACUUUCUAAAGGAGGGUACGAACUUUCUAAGGUGGGUACNACUUUCUAAGGAGGGUACGAACUUUCUAAGGAGGUANNNNNNNNNNNNNNNNNNNNNNNNNNNNNNNNNNNNNNNNNNNNNNNNNNNNNNNNNNNNNNNNNNNNNNNNNNNNNNNNNNNNNNNNNNNNNNNNNNNNGGGAGGGUACUUUCUUUCUAAGGGUGGGUACGAACUUUGUAAGGGUGGGUACUUACUUUGUAAGGGAGGGUACGAACUUUCUAAGGGAGGGUACGAACUUUCUAAGGGAGGGUACGAACUUUCUAAGGGUGGCUACGAACUUUCUAAGGGAGGGUAUGAACUUUCUAAGGGUGGGUACGGACUUUCUAAGGGUGGGUACGAACUUUCUAAGGGUGGGUACGAACUUUCUAAGGGUGGGUACGAACUUUCUAAGGGAGAGUACGAACUUUGUAAGGGAGGGUACAAACUUUCUAAGGGUGGGUACGAACUUUUUAAUGGAGGGUACGAACUUUCUAAGGGAGGGUACGAACUUUGUAAGAGUGGGUACGAACUAGAUAAUGUAAUUUUUUAACUACUCUAUCUUUUAUAUUUCAGUUUCUUCAUAGAUACGAUGGACAAAGGCAAAGAAAAGGAAUUUAUCAUUGAUUUGAACGAUGAAGAUUUUGAUUACCAAUAUGAUAGCAUUGUUAAAACUGAGUCUGAUGAAGAGGCCAUUCUAGUUUCAGACAAGAUUUUUAAUGAUUUAACUGUUGAAGAUAUAUGGAAGAUGGAGUUUAGCUCAGUAGAGGAGGCAAAAGAAUUUUAUAAUUUAUUUGCUAAAGUUACCGAAUUCAGUGUUAGAAAGGAUGAUGUGAAACGAGAUAAAAAUCAAAAUAUAGUAUCUCAUAAGUGGGUUUGUUCGAAAGAAGGAUAUCGACAUAGAGUGUGUUUAGAGAAUGAAAAUCGAAAACGAGAACCUAAGGCAGUAACUCGAGUUGGUUGUGAGGCAACAUUUCGGAUUGGGUUUAACAAACAAAUGAACAAGUGGGUUGUGAAAGAGUUUAUGGCUGAUCAUAAUCAUUCUUUGGUGGAACAAAAAAAUGUCCAAUUCCUUCAAUCCCAUAGGGUCAUUAAAAAUGCAGAUAAAACUCAAUUGAAUGCAAUGCGAGGUGUUGGCAUAGGAACUAGCCAAAUUAUGGAUUACAUGGUGCAACAAUCAGGUGGAUAUAACAAUGUUGGCUUCACAAAAAAAGAUCUAUAUAACCAUGUUGAUGCUGAUCGUAGAGUUCAUCUAAGAGAUGGUGAUGCAGAGGGUGCUUUGGCUUAUUUGUGUGGAAAGUUUGAAAUGGAUCCAUCAUUUUAUUACAAGUACAAUGUUGAUGAAGACAACCAUCUAGCAAACCUGUUUUGGGCAGAUUCUACUAGUAAAUUGGAUUACAGUUGUUUUGGAGAUGUAUUAGCAUUUGAUACAACUUAUCGGACUAAUGCUUAUAAAAAACCGUUGGUCAUAUUAGUUGGCAUUAACCAUCACCAUCAAACUAUAGUGUUUGGAUCUGCAUUAUUGGUAGAUGAGAGUGUUAGCACUUAUACUUGGGUCUUGGAGACUUUUUUGGACGCAAUGAAUAACAAGAAGCCUUUUUCUGUUAUUACUGAUGGGGAUAAAGCAAUGCGUAAAGCCAUCAAGAGGAUAUUUCCAGACUCUUGUCAUCGAUUAUGUGCUUGGCAUAUUCAACGCAAUGCAUUCACUAAUGUCCAUGUCAAAGAUUUUACUAAUCAUUUUUCUAAGUGCAUGUUCAUGGAAGGCACUGUUGAAGAAUUUGAAUGUGCAUGGAAUGACAUGUUGGAAAUGUUUAAUCUUCAUGGACAUAAGUGGGUGACAGAUAUAUAUGCUAAGCAUUCUAGAUGGGCAGAGGCUUAUUUAAGGGGGCAUUUCUUUGCUAGUAUGAAAAGCACACAAAGGUGUGAGAGCAUGAAUGCAUACUUGAAUCGUUUCCUUAAAACUCGUUUGAAGUUGUUUGAGUUUGUUAAGCAUUUUGAUAGAGCACUCUCACGUAUUCGUCAUAAUGAGGCAAAGGCAGAGUUUGAGACACACCAUUCUUCAGCUGUUCUAACAACCAAACUCUAUGCACUUGAGAAAUAUGCAGGGACUGUUUUCACAAGGCAAUCUUUUCUAAAAUUUAGGGAUGAGAUGAAGAAUGCAGAAUUGUUUUUCUCUGUCAGUACAGAAAAUCAUGGAGGUUAUCGUGUCCAUACAUUGACCAAGUUUAGAAGCCCUGACAAGAUUUGGAAAGUAUGUUAUGGUAAUAGUGAUCGGUCUAUGAAAUGUACUUGUAUGAUGUUUGAGUCAGUUGGUUUUCCAUGUCCCCACAUGAUUGUUGUAAUGAAGAUAGAACACCUUGAAGAAAUACCUGAGACUUGUAUUAUGAAAAGGUGGUCUAAGUUAGCAAAGGAAACGGUCCAAGUUCAUCAUGACAAUGAAAGUCAAGGUGAUGCGACUAACAUCAUACGAUAUGGUGCACUCAGCUCUAUGUGCUCACGGAUGUCUUAUUUCGCAUCUCAAUUGGAAAAAGCUUUUAAAGAGGCUAGAUGUGAAAUACAAAGACUCACUUGUCAAAUGGAAGAACUUUGUAAAAAUUUAGUGGAAGAAAGUGAACGAGAAGAUUUGAAAGCUACAAAACACCAUGUUCGAGAUCCUAUCAUUGUGAAGACGAAAGGUAAUCCGGGUAACUUAAAAGACAAAUUUAAAAAACCAAGGCAUUGUGGGAAAUGUAAGAAAGUAGGACACACUGUUCGAAAAUGCCCAGAGUUCGUCAACACUCACAAUGCAUUUAUCAACAUUGAAGAUUCAAUUGAAGAUAUGGUAUGUUCAAACACACAUUCACUAAAUUCAUUAAUUAUUCACUUUAUAGUUAUUUUUAUUUGGUUAAAUUGGUUGAAAUAAAAAAUUGAAUUCUUUAUAUUAAUACAGGGAGACAUGCCUUCAUUAUUAAAUCACAACAUGGAAGGUGGAUCAAGACACGGGACAAAUGAAUUUUCUCAAAAUGUAAGUUUAACAUUUUUUAAGUAAUUUUUAUUAUGAUGUGAAAAAUAUUACUUAUUAGAGUAAUUGAAAAAUUAAAUCAUAUUACAGACAACACUUGGCACAUUUCAGAAUGGUCAAGAAAUGAGCUUAAAUGAUUCAUGGCUCGGGUUACAUCCACCAAAUUACUUCACAAACCAGGUAAGAGUCAUAGAAUAAAUUAUUUACACCACAUAUCAUAUAUCUAUAUAUUGACAGAAGUUCCUUAACAUUUAGUAUUUAAUCAUAUGAAUUUUCUUUCAAAAUAUUAUGUAUAAUUGUAAAUAUUUUCAAUGUAGGUCACCAUGAACCACUUUACAUCCGGAAUUUCGGGAGCAAGUUCUACAUAUCAUAACCAAUGAGUUGUACUACAAUGCAAAAAAUUAUGUACAAAAAAAAAAAAAAAAAUCAACUCUUGAUUGUAUUCUAUACUCUUCUUCUCUUUAUUUUUGCAUGAUUCUGAACUUUAUCUAAUAUUAUAGCUUUCUCACUAUUUUCAUCAUCAAGAAGUAAUUCGAUUGCCAAUUUGUGUCUUAUAGCUGUAGAGUCCCAAUGGGAAGGGGUUGAACUUGAGUCCAUGAAAUCGGAUCUUCGCAUAUGAUUAAUGACAUGGACUCCACAAUCCCACCUAACAAAUGAAGUGAGCAAACAUUUAUCUAGUUAGUACAUACAAAUAUUAUCUUGAACACAUUAUAUUUGAAGAAACAAUUAUGCUUGCUUACCCAUUGGCUUGCACAUCUACCCAUGUAGGUCUUUCAAUGGGAACACUUGAUAAAUUCUUUAGAUGCCCAUUGAGAUUAAAAAAAUGUGCACACUCUUCAACCUAAUAUUCAUAUCGUUAUAUCUUUUAGCAAAAUAAAACAUGCUAUUUAACAACUAACAUUAAAAAGUAAUAAAAUUCAUUAAAAUAUAAGACAUACCACAGUUCUCACAGAUGAAGUUCGCAUGUCAUCCCUUUCUAUUGAUGGUAAUGAAUCCAAUAUAUGAAUAUUAUGUUGAUGAAGAUUUAUAACACACAAAUAUCAAUGAUCCGGACAUGUAUCGUGCAUCGGGAUGUAUAUCUAAACAAAACACACAUUUUAGCAUUGAUAAUUUUUUACAACUAUGCUAUGAAUCCAACUUCAAAUAUGUACCUUAUUGCAAUCAUUCAUUUCAUCCAUGUGUUUGAUAAUAUGUGUGAACAUCUUGGUAGCAGUUGCCAAUUUUCAACCACCAUGUAAGAUUAUUUGCUAUGAAAAAAAAAAAAAAACAUAUAUAUAUAUAUAUCACAAUAUUUAUUAGGUUUAUUUUUUUUCUUUAAUAAGAAAUAUAAUGGAUGAACAUACCGCAAAUGUGGUGGGUAAGUAGCAUCUGGUAGGUCGUAUUCCUUUGAAUUUGUUUUCAAAACUAUUAAGUUUGCAUGCAAAUACAUUUAUGAUCUAAAAAUGAAACACAAAAAAGUUAACAAUGUUAAUUAUGUAAUAGAAUUAAUAAGAAUUGGGUUUAUCCUUGUAUUACUCACCACAUCGAGUAAUUCUUGUCUAGGCCCUAAAGUCAAGAAGUCUGCUCGACUUGCAUGCUCAUAUUGAAAAUUAACAAGAAGUUCACUGCAAAAUAUAAGAUAUUUAAUAAGUAUAACUUUUAAAACAUGACAUACAUAAAGUAUAGUCAAAAUAAUUGGUUUACACACCUUUUGUCCAAUGAAACAUCAAACACAUAAGCAACAACUAGAGACUCAAGUGUACUCAAGGAAUGUGAAUCCUCCACGUUCGGCAAAAUGGACAUGGGGAUUAUCUAUAUUGAAAACAUCUCUAACAAACAUUAGUUAUCGUUCACUAUAUUAUUAAGUAUUUUAAAAAUACUACACCAAUGAAGUAACAUAUUACCUCUAAUACCUUUUGUGAUCCAACAACUAUGCUUGGGAAUCUCUUAGGCUUUGGCAUCUUAUUGGAUUGAUGAAUGUAGGGUGACACCUUGAAUUUACUAGGCUUGCGUUCCAUUGUUGAUCGUGUUUUCUUCAAUUGACGUGGGAGCACCACCAAUGAACUUAGUUGUUCUUCUUGUUUUUCAACAUAUGGAACAUCAACAUUAACCUAUCACGUAUUUGAACAUUAGUAUAUAUAUAUAUAUAGAACUUUGUAAAAAACUAGGUCUUCAUAAUAUGCAAAUACCUUUUCAUCGUGACAUUGAUUGUUGACAAUGGGAGAAACAUGUAACUCCAUGUCACCACAUGAGUCAUUCUCACUCAAUCUCUCUUCUACGACAACAUUGCUCAUAGGAAAAAACAAACGUUUCAAUUCCAUAUAUUUUUCUUCAAAUUCUCUAAAAGUUGAUUCUUUGCAACUUUUAUCCAUAUUAGAAACAUUUGUUUGUAGCACAAAUUUUUUCAACUUCUCAAAAGCUUCCUCCAUACCCAUCAAACUUUUUUCUUCAACCUAGUAACAAAUAAAAAUUUCCAAUAUCAUGAAAAAAAAAGUUUGAUAUGAAUAAACUAAUGUAUAUAAAUAUAGUAUGAAAAAGUACCUUAUGCCCUUCUUCUUGUUGUUCAUGAACUUUGCAUCUUGUUUAUCACCAUCUUCUACAUUUCUCAUAUCAUUAUCUUUAUGAUCACUUGUUAUCUCAUCUUUCUCAACCACCUUCAUUUUUUCAUCAUUUUCAUUUUCCGCACUAUUAUUUUGCUCUAUAUCCACACUUUGCCCAAUUUUUAUAAUCCAUAUCGUGACCUAUAAUUUAUCAAUAAACUUUAUUAUAAUUGCAACAUCACAUAAACAAAUAAGUUUUUCAGUUAGUAAAUGUAUCUUACCUUUGGAUCAUCAUAACCUCCAAGUGUUUUGAUUUUACGUUUCAUCCUAGAAACCUCAUCAUCUCCCCAUUCAUUUAUACGAGGGCUAUAUGCAUUAAAACGUAAGUUCAUACCCUUCUUUGUGGAAAUGUGGUCUAGGUAGAAAAUCUGCAAGAAAUAAAUUCCAAAAUAAGUAUAGAGUUGAAUAUAUCACAAAUCUAUUAUUGUUAAAAAUAUCAUAAUAUAUCAACUUUGUUAAAAGUGUAUUACCAUUAGAAAAAAUAAACAUCCAGAAAUCCCACUACUUCGUUUCUUGGAUUUAAAGUCGUUUAUGCCUCGUACAAGGAAGAAGAAUACUAUUUGAGCCCAAUUUAUCUUCUUUAUUGAUGCGGUGUCUUGAAGGAGAUGGAGGAAGGAAGGCUUGACACUAACUUUCAUCGUUGGACUUAACAAGGCACCCAAAACAAAUAAUACAAAACGAAUUUUAAAUUCAUCCCCACAUUUCUUUUCUUGCCGUAUUUGGUUUUCUAACAUCAACAAUGACAAUUUUCCCUUCCCAUCACAAUACAUGUUGUAUAAAUCAUUUCGUUUACUUGUGCAUCUCUCUAUAUCUACCUCCACUCCCUUAGCCUUCAAGCCCAAAAUUAACUCAACAUCCAUUGGGGAUAAUUUAAUGGAAGUGUUAUGCACACUUAAUGUGCAUGAAAGAGUGUCAAAAUUCUCUACCAACCAAUGACAUAAACUAUGAUCAAGUUUAGUACAUCACAAUCCUAAAAUACCUCCAAACCCUAUUUCUUGUAUGACGGCCUUUUGAUUAGGUUGCAAGUGUUGAAGUAGUUUAUACACCCGAUCAGGCAAACAACGCGUGUGAAGAUAUGACUGGAAGUCAUAAAUAUACAUAAGCAUAUAUAUUUUAAAUUGAAAGGAAAUAUUAUCAUAAUUUAAAAACAUAAAUUUCGAAUUUCUUACCUUUGAUGCAUUUUUUGAGUUUCGACCCUUUUGUUUUAUAUAUUCAUGAGGACAUUUUUUAGACUUCUCUAUGAACUCUUUUUUUUCUCCAUUUGAAAGGGAUUGCCACUUUUUCCCAAUCUCUUUUCGCAACUGUAAAAUUAAAUUAGUUAGUUAUCAUAUAGAGUAUAAAAGUUGACUAAAAAACAUAUUAUGCAAAUAUUCAUUUCUUUUCUUACAUCAUUAUUUAUUAUCAAUUCCUUGUUAUCUUUUUUUCUUGUGAGUACUUGUUCUUGACUGCAAAAAAAUCACAUAAAAAUGAUUAUAUUUUCAACAUAUGAAUAAAUAUCCAAAAUGAAUUAACUAUAUAUGUAUAUAUAUUCUUACAAAUAAUAAAGCCAUGAACCCAUAGGAAGUUUUGGGUUUGAAGGGGGAUCAUUCUCCUCAAAUGAUUGUUUGCUCCUGUUUAAAACACAACAUUAUGAAUGUAAUUUACAACUAAUUAAAACUAUGUACUAUAUUCAAAUAAUUAAGUGACAAAUAUAAAAUCUUACAUAUUUGGCUUUCUAAGUCAAGAUGCAGUAAGACUGCUCAAAAUAAGAUAAACUCCUCUUAUAUUAAGCAACUGUGUAGCCUGCAACAUAGUGAGCAUACCGAUAAGAAUUAAGUUUUGAAUUUGACAACAAUGAGUUUGAAAAUAUUUGUAACAAAAUGGAGUUUUUUUCUAAAAAUAUUAAUCAUUAUUUAAUCAUUAGAUCGAUGAGUUAAACUAAUUAAAAUAAAUUUAAAUUAUCAAAUAAAAAUAAUUUAUUUACUUUAAAUCUUUUUUUCUUUUUUUUUUAUCUUAUCUUUUUUACAUAGCAUAGCAAAAAGGCAUUUUUAAAAAUUAUAUCAAUUAAUUUAUAAUUUUUUUAAAUAUAAUAAUGUCCAAAUGUUUUAAGCUCUUUUAUCAUUCUUUUCAUCUCCUUAGGAUCUUGUUUCAUUGUAUGGUUUAGUCUCAUUUUGUAAUUUCCAAAUUUCAUUACAAGUCCUCUAAGCUUCAUAGCUGAAAGUCCACCAUACUUUUCUUUUAAUGUUUCCCACAUUUCAUGAGAAGUUUGAUAUACCUCAUACUCAAUCAUAAGAUCAUCUUGCAUACAACUUAAUAACGUUAUGCGAGCUAAAGAAUUUUUUUGUGAGAGAUGCCACAUCAACAAGAUAAAUAUAUAUGUCAUGUCUGGCAUAUCAAACUAUUUACAUGUUAUGUACAAAACAUAAAAAAAAUGUAAUAAAUAGAAGGAAAACUAAUCUUCUCCCUUGAAAUUAAAAGAAACAAUGUUAGGAUUAUACACAGUGUCUUCUAUAACUCUAGAAGUUGUUUUCAAUAACCAUAACCCUCUAAGAUUUUAUGCCUACUAGAAUUUGAAAAUCUUGCAUUUCGCAAGUUAGGAGAAAUAGAAAGCACUGUUGUUCGUCUGAUGGCAUUCUUCACGAAGCAUGUUUCCCAGUGUUCCUUGAAAAUAACUACUAGGUCAUCAAAAGACCUAUUUGUGAAACCAUGAGACCCUUCUUGAAUGGAUUCCCAUAUAUUUUCAAGAACUUUUUUCUCAGGUUCUGUUAAUGACAUUUGUAGAAUAUGCAUUUUACGGUUUGACUCUAAGAUAUAUUCCUCUUCGAAACGUUUGAACAUAUUAGCCACAUGAUCCGCAUGUUCAUUUGUAGAAUGGCUAGGGUCCCUCUUGUAGUUCAAGAUUGUAUCCAAACGCGGCCAAGGUCCACUACCCCUUAGUACUUUCCUAAUUCUCCUCAAUCGUACCAUUUUGCACCUGAUCAAAAGAAUUUAAUUUAAUUUUAAUGAGUAACAUAUACUCAUACUUUAAUUAAAUAUUUGAACAAAUGAAAUUUUAAUUAGAAACACACAAUUAUAAAAACAAAAGGUCUUUUAUUGUCCCUCAAAUUUUUAUUAUUAUUUUAUACACAAGUCAACAUUCAUAAUUUCAAAUAAACAAUAUAACACUAAUAAAUGGUAUUUUAUAUCAUAUCAAGGUACUUUACUUGAGAUUUAGGUUCGAAUCCAUGUUGCAUUAUUAUUUCUAACACUAAAAGGUUCAAAAGUCUAAAAUUUUAUUACAUUUUAAAUGAAAAAUAAAAUUAAUUUAUAUAAAAUAUUUUAUUCGAGAUUUAAGUUCAAAUCCAUGUUGCAUUAUUAUUUUUAACACUAAAAGGUUCAAAAGUUUAGAAUUUUAUUACAUUUUAAAUGAAAAAUAAAAUUAAUUUAUAUAAAAUAUUUUAUUUGAGAUUUAGGUUCAAAUCCAUGUUGCAUUAUUAUUUCUAACACUCAAAAGUCUAGAAUUUUAUUAUAUUUUAAAUGAAAAAUAAAAUUAAUUUAUAUAAAAUAUUUUAUUUGAUAUUUAAUUUCUAAAAUUUUAUUAAAAAUAUGUGAUAACAAUUUUUUCUAUUAACAUUAAUGUAUUUAAAUAAUUAAAAUAAUUAAUAAUUUAUCUUAUUAAAUUAAUUUUAAUUCAUAAAAUAUCGGUAAUAAAAUUCGAAAGUUCAAUUUAUAUAAAAUAUUUUAUUUGAGAUUUAGAUUCCAAUCCAUGUUGUAUUAUUAUUUCUAACACUCAAAAGUCUAGAAUUUUAUUAUAUUAAAUGAAAAAUAAAAUUACUUUAUAUAAAAUAUUUUAUUUGAUAUUCAAUUUCUAAAAUUUUAUUAAAAAUAUGUGAUAACAAUUUUUUCUAUUAACAUUAAUGUAUUUAAAUAAUUAAAAUUAUUAAUAAUUUAUCUUAUCAAAUUAUUUUUAAUUCAUAAAAUAUUAGUAAUAAAAUUCGAAAGUUCAAUGGUAAAGAUUUAAUCAAAAUAUAAAUGGAUAAUUACUAUUGGUAAUGAUUUAAACAAAAUAUAAAUGGAUAAUUACUAAUGGUAGUGAUUUAAUCAAAAUAUAAAUGGAUAAUUAUUAAUUAUUUAAAAAUAUGUGAUAACAAUUUUUUUUAUUAACAUUAAUAUAUUUAAAUAAUUAAAAUUAUUAAUAAUUUAUCUUAUCAAAUUAUUUUUAAUUCAUAAAAUAUCAGUCAUAAAAUUGGAAAGUUCAAUACUAAAGAUUUAAUCAUAUGGAUAAUUACUAUUGGUAAUGAUUUAAACAAAAUAUAAAUGGAUAAUUACUAAUGAUAGUAAUUUAAUCAAAAUAUAAAUGGAUAAUUAUUAAUUAUUUAUAUACAAAGAUAAAUUCCUAAAAUGCCCUAUUCUGAUUUUACUAAUGGUAGUGAUUCUCACACUCGGGGAUGGGGCGUCAAAGAAGGCAUUUUCUCCUCCAGACCGAGAAUCCCUAAAAAGCCUCCAGACCAAGAAUCCCUAAAAAAGCUCCAGCCGGCCACUCUCAAUCUCUCAAUCCUAAAAAAGCUCCAACCGACCACUCUCAAUCCUAAAAAAGCUCCAGCCGGCCAUUCUCAAUCCGCAGGUACUAAUCUAAUCAUGUUAUCAUUUUUUUUUUUCAAUACCCAUUUCUCAACAAAAUCCAUCCCCCAUUUUUGGAUCUGUUUGAGGUGUUUUUUUUGCUUUUAUGCCAUUCAAUUUAAAUUUCAUGAACCCUAAAUCCACGAUUUUUUAGCCAGGUUGAAAAACACAACCUUUGCCGGUAAAUCAUGACCAGAUUACCAAAUAGUAUCUUUUGUUUUUUUAAAAAAAAUUGGACAGAUUUUCUAUCCUUGUGCGCGGCCUGGACCUGUAGGAAAUAUAGGGAAAUUUCCAAAAAAAAAUCAGUAAAAAUACCAAAAUUUUACUGCAUCAUGUUUGUGCGUGGCCUGGACUGGUAGGAAAUAUCGGGAAAUUUUCCAAAAACUCGGUAAAAAUAUAGUCUUUCUCAGAAAUAUUGCCGAAAAUUUUUGACAUUUCAAUGAGUGAAGUACCUGUUCUGGGCGAGUAGGUAGAGUUGCCUGCAGGGGGAGAUUGGUUUCGGAUCUGCCAAAGCCCGCCUGAUUCUUUUCUUGCUGAUUUCUCCUUCAAAAUCCUCACUCAGCUCACUCUCUCUGUAAAUGUUCAUUUCACCCGAAAAUUGCAUCUCCACACCCUCAAAUUGCUGAAGCUUAACUCUCAAAAAUCCGGGAAAGUUGUAAUGCCCAUCAAACUAAUAGCUCACCUCUCUGAAAAUAGGCGUCAAGUGUAAUACCCAUCAGAUAAAUUUUUGUCUUUAGACAAGAUUAAGCAAGAUAGAAGCGGGAAAUCAGGUGACCGACAACUUGCUGUUAUUUUUUUUAUAUAUUUUUAAAUUUUUAAAAAAUAUAUAAACCAAUUGGACUGUCCAGAUUGAACCAUUUUCAUCCAAUGGUCAAAAUUGUUUUUUGGGUAGGUACCGAAGUGGUACUGUAGAAUUUUCCUAUAUAUUAUUAUGUUGUUUCAUUUGAAAUGUUUAAUUUUAUUUUUUUAAAAUAAAUUGGUUUUGACUUAAAUUUUUUUUUUAUAUAUAUAAAAUUAUGUUGUUUCAUUUAAAAUAUUUAACUUUCUUUAAAAAAAAAUUGUUAUAUUAUUCUUAUUUUAUAUUUAUUAAAAAUGUGUAAGUGGUUAAUAAACUUAUAUGGUUAUUUAAAAAAAAUGAUAUAUGAAAUAAAUAACUGGUAUUUUUAAUUUGAUAUGAAAAUAUUUUUGUUUAAUUUUAUUAAAACAAUUGGCAUCAUAUUUAAUAUAAAUUAUAAUUAGUUAAUUAUAUUUAAAUAUAAUAAAUUAUAUUUAUUUAAAAAAUAUGAAAUCAUAUUUGCAAAAGAAAAAAAACAAAUAAUAUAAUUUAUUAAUUAUUUUUUAUAUACUAUAAUGUAAGUGAUAUAUAAUCAAUGAUGAAAAUAUCGGUAAUCAAUGAUAUAUUGGUACUUCGAUUUUACAGAUAUAUAGGAUGUAUUGGAGAUAUAUCGAAUGUAUUAGAGAUAUAUCGAUGGAUAUUUUGGAAAAAAAUAUGGUAGACUUAAAAUUGAUCAAAAUUCAUGGAAAUAUAAGAAAAACCUUUUAAAAAUGUAGUUAAAAGCAAUGUUUUAAAAAUCGGACUGGUCCGACAGCUGGCCGGUCACGGUUCUGGUCCGACUAUUGGCCGGUCACGGUUCCGGUCUGAUCGUCGAUCGGUCACAGUUUCGGUCCAAUUCGACCAAUUGGACCGGAAUGGCUUUGAACUGGGGUCGGACCGUUUGAACCGACGGUCCAACCGAUGAACCAGACGAACCAUCCGAUUCUCUCUAAACCUGCUGGUUUAAUUAAAAUAUAUAUAUUUUUUUUUAUAAAAAAAACAACAUCAAAAUGACGCCGUUUUGGAGGGUAUAUAUUGAACAUGACUGAUGGCUGCAAACUAGAAGUCUAGAAAGUGGAAACCCUCCUGCAGCAGUUGCCGACCUGCCGCUUGGCCCGUCCUCGACGCGCCGCUGCCUGCGACACCUAGACGACUUCCACCGACGGUUGUUACAAGCCGAAAACCGUCCCUAUUGUUGCCUCUUCCCAGUUUCACGUGACGUUGGAAGCCGGAAAAUCUCUCUGCUGUUGUUAACCACACUGAUCGGCUCCGACUCGUACCCCUCCUUGUCGCUGGUACCCCUCCGGCCCUCCCUGCCCCUGGUACCUCCCUUCCGGCUCCGGCAAACUCUAACUUGCUUUUUCUAAGGGGCCUUGCUUGUGUAGUCAACACUUGCUUCCAGACAGAAAGUGGGCAGUGGGUCUAUGAUCAUCUUGAAAUAUUCUAGGAAUGAUGAGCAAAGGGCCCUCAAAACCAAGCUUUUUUUCAAUUUUUUUUUUCUUUGGUCUUAUAAUUCUCUACUUCUUAUUACUUUACAUGUUUGUCUUCCCACAUUUUAACAUUUCUUUAGUUUAAGUAAACCUUUUGUCUUAUAAUUUUUAACAUUUUAUUAUAUAUCUGAUCACACUUAGUGACAUAGAUAGAAUUCAUUAAUUUUUUAUAAUAUAUAAAAUAAUAAAAUAUAUAUUUAUGACAUCACCGAUUCGAUCACCCGUCCGACCAGUGAACCAUGAACCUGUUACUUUUUCGGUUCAAUGACCGGUCCGGUUCUAAAAACAUUGAUUAAAAGUAUAAUAGAUAUUUUAAAGUUAUUUUGUUAAAUAAUUUGAUAUAUGUAUGAUAUAUUUUAUCAUGUUUGAUAAUAAUAUUUUAUACAAUGAUAAAAAAUAUGAAUUUUGUAAGUGUAUGUUUAUUAUUAAAUUACAUCAAAUAUUAUUUUAUAAUAAUAUUGUGAUAUUUAAUUAUAAUAUGUCUAAUUUUAAAAUAUAUUUAAUAUUAAAAUUAUGAUCCAUUUAAUUCAAUUAUAUUAAAUGAUAUAAAAUAAAUGAUAAUAUAUGUAUAAUUUUUUAAUAUUUAAUUAAUCUAUUAAUGAUAUUAAAAACACUACGAAGAAAAUUAUCAUAAUAAUUUUUAUAUUUUUGGCAAUAUAUUAAAUGAGAUUUUUUAAUUUAAUUAUAAAAUAAUUAUAAUUAAUUUUUUCUCAAAAAUAUUUUUUAAAUAUUUUUUUUUUAUAUAAUGACUUUUACUGUAUAUAUAUAUAUUUGGUGUAGUAUAUUUAACAAGGGGCAAACUUACCUUAGUGAUAAGCUAAGUGCAAGCUAAGCCUUUUGUUGGGGUUCGAAUCCCCUUAAUUAUAAAAAUUAAGGCUCAUUUAUGAGCUUUGAUUGUAGUGUCCAUGCAUUGACUGCUCGAGCCCCACGUUGACCAACCUGAAAUAUUGGUGAUUUUUGGCAAUUUUUGCCAAAAUAUCGUUUGGUCGAUAUUUUUCCAUCUGAUAUCGUUUCCAUAAGUCCCAAUAGGCGAUAUAUCAGUGAUAUAUUGUCGAUAUAUAACAAAUUUUCAUCCAUGUAUAUAAUAUUACAUGUAUAUAAGUUCAAAAUUUAUUAUAUUUUCAUUUCAAUGUAUACUAAUUUGUUCAUAUUAAAAAAAACCACAAAAUACAACUAAAAAUAAAUACAAAAAAUGAAAAAACAUUCCUCAAUGAGUACCGCAUGAUGGAGUUUUCUACUUUAUUUGCAUACACCUACAAUACAAAAAACAUAUUUGUUGAAUCUAUCUAUGUAAUUUGGAAUGUCUCCAUGUAUAGGUGGAGAUGGAGCUGAUGGAGGCAAGACUCGACAUUUAUGUAAACCAAGACGUCCCCUAGGUGGAGAUACAUCUAGUUGUGAAACAUGUGUGAGGGUAUGAUGCAUGGUAGUCUCUAUGGGAUGAGGUGUAAGUGAUGGUAGGAUGGUAGAUGGUGAGGCGAUCUUCAAUAUGAUGAUAUAUGAUAUGGAGACUUCUAGGAGAAGUGAUAUAAGAGAUGGUAGAAUGACAUAUGGUGUAGUGGUCUUUAGUGCAAUAACAUUUGAUAUAGUGGUCUCUAGGAGAUAAGAUAUAGGUGAUGAUGGUGAUGUGGCAUAGCAGUUUAUGGAGAUAAGGUAUAGGUGAUGGUAGCUUAGUAGAUGGUGGAGUGGUCUCUAAUGUGGUGACAUCAGAUAUAGUAGCCUCUAUGGGAGGAAAUAGAGGUGAUAGUAGAGUGGUAAAUGGUGAUGUGGUAUUUGAUACGACAUGUUUUAAGGGAAAAAAAGUCUAGGUGAAGGUGAUGAUAGGGGUGAAAGGGGAAGUGUGAAAACCUCGAGUGCAAAUGGGUAGAUGAUGUGGAUGGUGCUAACAUGGUCUAAGGUGGAUGCAAAGAUUGUUGAGGCUGUUGACUAGCUCGACCACCAUCUUGCCUACCAUUUCCCCCCUACCUCUAAUAGGUUGCAUCCUAAUAGUAAUAGCCGACAUAGGUGGUCUCAUGCAUAGGCUUUAUGAUGUAGAUGACUCAUGGACGAAACGCAUGCAAGAUUCCUCUCUAAUAAUGUGUAAAAUAUUAGUAGCAAUCUGAUGAAUGUUGCCUAAUACACCUGAAGUAACCUUAGUAGAUCAAUUAGUAAUUUUAGCCAUACCGGUUAUUUAAGAAAAAAAAAAUCAAAUAUCUGAAGAUGAUUUUCUAUUAAUUAUAAUUUAAGAAAUCAUUUCUAAGUAAAAAAAUCUUACUAGCAAUUGAGUGGCUGCUAUUGUAUUAUGAUACCUCAUUUGAUCCCUAUGGAGAGGCUACUGUUGUAUUAUGAUACCUCAUUCCAUAUAUGGAUCAUGGAACUCCAUAGUACCUAUCAUAGGUGGUGUCAUCGUAAUAUGCUCCUCAUGACUAGCCCAUAACGUAAUAUACUCUGCAUGAAAUGCCCCCUAAUCAUACUUAUAUCAUCCUUGCCUAUCCAUGGAUUGUAGGUCUUGCUCUAUCGAACAAGAUGACGGUAUCCCUUAUUGGAGGCUAAGCUAUAGUAAUACUCGCUCUGACUGAUGCCACUUGAUAAUGUCAAAAUAGAUAAGAGGUGACAUUAUUUGCUAGAUCUCUAGGUUUGCUAGAGGUAUCGUUGGAAGAUGGGCAAUUGAGUCUCCCAUGUAAGACUCCCACAAAACUUAUAAAUAUCGACAUUUGACAUCAAUAAUGUUAAUGCUUAUACGAUUAACAAUAACACAUUACAUCUUAUGUGUAUUUGGCCAUGGGUCUGUGCAUCUAAUUGGUUUUGAUAAAAUGUCAACACACAUGAUGGUUUAUGAGCCCAUGAUAAAGGUACUCUCCACUUACAUCAUAACGAAUUAGUUGGCAAAGCUCGGUCUAAUAAUGACUUUUCCUGUAAUCCCUAGUCCUUAUCUAAUAAUCCGUAGUGUACCCUAAUUGACCCUCAAUUGGUAAAUCAUCAGUUACAUCAUGAUUUAAAUGUUGAGCUGCUUGAGGGGUUGGUGGUAAACCAAAAUCGAGUCGACCCACGUGGAGUCUUUCCGAAGACCACAAUUUGAUAAAUAUAACAUUAAUAGUGUUACAUAAAUUAUAAACUUGAAGCAACUAGAAAUUGUUGUCUAAUGCGAAUGAUUAAUUAUACAUGUAAUAGUAUGACACAUCCAGCAAUAUUGGUGGUACCAUCCUAACUUGCCUAACACAAGUCCCUAUAUAGGUAUGUUAGGACUACACUGCCCCAACUAUUCAUAGAUAUUUAAGUCAACUCUUUAAGUAGUGGGAGAUAACACAUAUGGACGUGCAUACUUUUCUUGUCUAUAAAUAACAUUGAACCUAGUAGAGCUAGUAUGAAAGCUCAUGCACACUGCUUUAAUGUGGCCUCAUCUGAAUCUAUCGAUGGAUGAGAGAAUUAAUGACAUAGCCAUCGUGUUGAUAUUGUUGAUCCUCUAAUUUCAAUUUUUUUUUUUUGCCGGAAGGGGGGGGGAGGGUCACAUCCAAAAGCUCAUAACACAGUAGUAACCAAUCUAAGACAAAUGUGCCAGUGGUGGGGGAUUCAUGAAUACAAAGUCUUAAGAUGAUAGCAACAUCCUGUAAUGUAAUGGUCAUAUUCCCAAUAGGUAGGUUAAAUGCGUGUCUGAGGACUCCAUCUUUCAAGAAGACUAGUAAUCAUCCUCCAAUCUAGUGUAACGUGUCCAAUAUUGUAUAUAUUGUAAAAUCCAGAUCAAAUAACAUAAGGGCAAAUGCAAGGAUCCAUCUCAUACUCCCACAUAAACCUAGAUAUAUGUUGUUGACAAAUGAAGAUUAAAGAAAGCUACAAAAUACAAAUAAAUCAAUUAGAUAAUAAACUUUAAUUUUUGUCAUUUUUUAAAGAGAGAUUAUGUGCUUCUAUGUACAUACCUGGUUAGAGUUAACUAAAUGAUAUACUUUAUAUCUAUAAAAAAAUUGUGAAGAUAAAUGAACAAUACUUCAUCUUUUUAAAUAAACAAUAUUUAUAAUAGAAAAUUUAAAAAAUUUGAUGGAGUUUCCCCUAUAUUAUGGACAUUAUCCCAAAUACAAAUCACUUGAUUAUGCAAAUCACAUCAAUAUUUAUAAUCAAAUCAUUAACAACCAAACCCAAUAAUUACAUAAAGAUAGUAUCUUAUUAGCUUACAUCAUAAUAUCAAUGAAAAUUACAUAUAUAUAUAUAUAUAUAUAUCAUAAGAUCUAAUAAACUCCAUUCCUCUUUGGACAAGACUUGCAAUUGUAGCCACUUUGUUUGCACAAUCCAUAUAUAUAUAUAUAUCAUAAGAUCUAAUAAACUCCAUUCCUCUUUGGACAAGACUUGCAAUUGUGGCCACUUUGUUUGCACAAUCCAUAUAUAUAUAUAUAUAUAUAUAUCAUAAGAUCUAAUAAACUCCAUUCCUCUUUGGACAAGACUUGCAAUUGUGGCCACUUUGUUUGCGCAAUCCACAUGUAAUAGAAGUCUUGCCCUCUCUAUGUCUAUUUCAUUAUGCAAAUGACUUGAUUUAAGUUGUCCAUUUGAUACACGUUUCAUCAACUCAAAAUGCAUGACACUCGGACCAUCGUAAGGAGGCCACUCAUAUAUAUUGAAGAUGAGAUGGAACAAGAUGCCUAAGUAUUAUAAUAUGACUUUGUACUAUAGUAGUGUUGAACAAAUGGUCUAAAAUCAAUUGAACAAAAAUGACAUGUUCUUAGAAUUUGGUUGCAUGAGAAUCUGUAUAUGAGUGUUUUACCACAUAUGCAUGCAUGCUCAUGUAAGUUGAUGCAAUUAUGUUUGACCACCACUUGAGCUACACUUAAUACCCCUACUAGUCUUCACAUGGAAUCGUCCUUGGAUGUGAUCAUAUAAAACAAUUUCAUAAGAUCUUGCCUUAAUCACAUUGGCUUUAAUCUUACCAUUGACAUAUGGAGUGUAUUCCUCAUUUAAAGCUAGUCGAUUGGGAUCUAAAAGAGAUUGUAUUUCUUCCGCCAAGGAAUUUAACUAUGUUGUACAUAGUUUUAUUCCUGUACUUCUCAAUGGAGUGCCCAUCUUCUUGAAUUUCAAACUCAUUUAGAUAAAAACAAGAGCUAGAGUGCUCCCCACAAAUCGACAAACUGAACUCAAGACAAUUACCUGUGUAUACAAUUCCCAGAUUAAUGUAAUGUGACCCUUCCUAUAAUACAACUCAUCAAUUGUCUACUGUAAAAUCGUGUUCCAUCGGCUUUAUUCCACCCCUUCUAGUGCUGACUACAAGUUUCACAGCAUAGAAUGCUAAGCCUGCACCCUUUUGUUCCAUUCCUUGGUCAAACACUGGGGUCGUAGAAUUCUCCUUAGCCUUAAGCUCAGAUGCAUCUUUCUGCCUUUUGUAACGAAACCAAGCUGCUUGUAUAAAGCUGCCCAUGUCCCCCAUUGGUGGAAGUAAAACCUGAGAGUGUGCCUCAACUGUUUGCCGUGCAAUCUUCAAAACUAAGAAGCUACAAACUUCAUAUCGUCAAUAAUGAGGGCCACUUUGAAAACUUAGGCAAUGGAAGUAGUAGAGAUGCAAGUUAAUAUUGACUUGGAAUCUGGAAAGCAACUAUAUUAUAUUGAGAAUACCCAGAGUAAAAAUUCCCAUUAUAAAAUGAGAAAUGGAACAUGUCAUGAGGACUUUUCUUGAUGUACAAUGGAACUGCACAAAAUGUUUCUUUUCCUGCCCAGCUCUCCAGGGUGUUCGCUAAGCUCCAUCGAGCAUGUAUGGAAAAAGGGGGCAGUUGUGGGGACUAGAGCAUGGCUAUGGCCGGCACUUAGAAACAGCCAUGACCUCCUUAAGGUGCUGUUGACCACCCCCUCAACCGAAAACCGCAAUGGCAGUUAUGCAGGUGCACUUGGUAAACCACCAAUCGCCCAAGCAGGACAACAGACAACCAAAGCAGAGACCAUAAAAAGGCCACUCCCAUAGUGAAUCGCGUAUGCAUUAUGAUCCACAUCUUCUCCUUCACAUAGAGACCUGCCUAACUUCCUCAACGGAAGGGAUUUUUGGGAACACAACGGAAAAUUCCUUUUGUGCAGGUAUCCAGGAUCAUCCAUCGGUGCUACCAAAAAUUAGGUACAAACAAUGAGGGCACAAAGGACCCAUUGGGUCUAAAUCAGCCUCCUGUUGUGUAGUACCUUAUUCCACUUUUUUCAUUGGCUGGAAAUUAACCUGGCCCAAUUCUCCUAUCAGGCCUUUUGGGCAGCCUUGUUUGGGGAACAACCCAGUUUCAUCAACUGGCUCGGUCCAAGCUUUACAAAAAGGCCUGGCCCAAAAAUGCUGCAAACAUUUAUAUUUUAUGACUAAAUAAUAAUAAUAAUAAUGUCUUGCGAGUCUAGCAUAUUCUUUUUAUUGAUAAUUCAAAGCAAUGAAGCUUAUGAUUACAAUUUUUACUACCCAGAAAUGUUCAUAUAAGAAAGUGAAAUAAAUUGAUAAAUGAGGAUUAAUUGGAAAAGCCAGCGGCCAGCUUUGCUUUGAGGUCUUUUCUGAGGAUUUUACCAGAUGGAGCCUUAGGAAUUGUCUCAAUGAAGAAAACCCUUUUAAUUCUCUUAUAAUAUACAACCUGCACAAUACAACAAUACAUACAUACCCAUAUAGAAAUCAAUACAUGAUUAAUUUGUUAAUUUCUUGGUAUAAGACAGAUAUUAUUAAUUAAGAAAAUCAGUAACAUUGAAAAUGUUUAGAGUGCGUUUAAAAGUAUUUUUUAUUUAGUCCUUAGUUGAAGUGUUUCUUUAAAUAUUUUUUUUUAAUAAUCAUCUAUCAAAUGUUUCGCUAUGAAACGUUAAGUGGUUUUUCAAAAUUUUAAAAACGUUUUCUAAGGCUUUAUUUGAUAAUUUUUUUUGAAAAUUAUUUUUUGAUAUUUUGUAAAACAAAAGUCUAUUUGAAACUUAAAAUAUUUUUAAUAUUUUCAAAUAUAUUUUAAAACCAUUUUUUUUAUAUCUAGUGCUUUAUUUUUAAUCUUUUUAUAUGUUUCUAUAAUUAUUUUUUAAAAUAAACACUAAAAAAUAAUUGAAAAUAAUAAAAAACAAUUAAAAGAUGUUAUUUAAAGACACAUUGUUUUCUUGUUGCUAACUGUAUUUUCUUACUUUUUUGUUUUAGAAAAUAGAAAAUUGUUCUUGAAGAUAAUUAUCAAACAUGUGUUAAAUUUUAUUAAAUGUUUUGUUUUUCUCCAAAAACCUUUUUUUACAUUAAAAAUAAAACUUAUUUGAGCAUAUGAUGUUUUUGAUUGAUUAUCGCCUUUUUGGGAUGACAUCAGAGAGGGGAUUUUCUAUACAAUAGAAAACCUUUUUUUUUCCUAUUUCUUUUUCACUUUUUUUUAAGCUUUUUAUAUUUUUAUUUGAAAUUUAGAGUUUGUUUAAGAGUGAUUUUAAUAAGUAUGAACCUUUCUAACUAGCACUUGAAAGCAAAGAAAAAUUAGAAUUGCUUCUUAAAAUCAAUACUAAAUAGAUUCUUACUUGUUUUGCGAUGUAUUCCUUUAUUUCAUCCUCGGUGAUUUCAAAACCAUUUGAUCUCACAAUGAAUGCAAUUGGAACCUCUCCCGCAGCUUCAUCUUUCAUCCUUAAAUAAAAUAAAAUAAAAUAAAAUAAAAUAAAGAAGAAGUAGUGAUUUUAUGGAAAAUCAAGCCUUGAGAUAUUAUAAUUAACUUGUGAUAAUUACAUAGAAUAAUAAUGAGUAUGAAAACUUACGGUACAACCGCAGCAUCAACAAUAUUAGGAUGAGCAAUCAAGAUUGCUUCAAGUUCAGCUGGAGCCACUUGAAAUCCUCUAUUUUUAAUUAUCUCCUUCAAUCGAUCGACAAUGAAGAGCUCAUCAUUAUCAUCUAUGUAUCCGAUAUCACCUGUGUGUAGCCAUUUUUCUUCGUCUAUGGCUUCUUUAGUGGCCUCAAUAUCAUUAAGAUAACCUGAUAAACAAUUGGUCCUAAAUUUAGCCUCACAAAUAAGUACUAGAUUUAAAUUUUGUAAGAUAUAAGUGGCCCACGUGAUAGACAAUUAAGACCCAUGUGAUAAAUAUUUAUUAUUUUAAUAAAAUAGUUAGAUAAAUUUUAUUAGUUGGUUAGUGUAAAUAUUAUCUGCCAUGAUCUCAUAGGAACUCUCAUAGUUUUAAAAUAUGUUUAUAAGAUUAAAAAGAGUCUAUAUUUAUAUAGCAUUUGGAACUCUUUUAUAUCCGAUGUAAGAUAUCAUUUGUAAUGAUUCAUACUUAAUCAUAUAGAUAUUGUCCAUAUUUUACGACUUUAUUAUGAUAUCUCAUAUCAGAUAAGAAAAAAAAUUUCUGAUACUAUAUAGAAUGAAUUUUUUUUAAACUUGUAAAUGAGUUUUAAAGUUAUGAGACUCAUUUGAAUCUAGAACAAAGAAUAUAUGCAUGAUUGGAUGUGUUACAAUUUUUGUAAGAAUUUUCCACCUUAAUUAUUAAAGGAUGCUAUCCUGGCAUGUACAUAUUGGAUUAAGUAAUGAUUUCUUAAAAAUUCAAUUUCAAACUCUUAGGAGGAAAAACAAAGGAGAAGUGGGAAAGGAGGGGAUGUGCACCUUUCAUGAUUUGGUCACCUCUUAUGCAAAUCUCUCCUGCUUGAUUUGGAGGAAGAGAAGCACCAGUCUCAGGGUUGAUGAUCUUCAUCUCUGCAUUUCUAACCACAGUCCCACAAGCCCCUGAUUUUAUCUCAAAUGGUUCCUUUGCAAAUGCUAAGCACAUCGAUAGUACAGGUCCAGCUUCAGUCAUCCCAUACCCCUAUACAUUUAUGGAUUAAAUUCUAGGAUUUAUAGAAGCUCGCACAAAUCGUAUAGUGACUAAUUUCCAAUAGUAUUAGGCAUUGUCAAUGUUGAGAUUUUGAAUCAUCCACUUGUCAUUGGAUAGAAAAUUUAAUUAAUUAUAUUAUUUAUCUAUGAAAGGGUAUCAAAUUUUGUUUCCGUGGUUAUUCAAAACUCAUUAAAUUAUUACAGACACGUAAAAAAGACUUCAAAUGAGGAAUUGAGAGUCACAUGUGUAAAGUUCACCUAAUUAAGAAAAUGAUACAAGCCAAUAAGGUCUUAAAAGAUUAAGAUCGAUGUGCCAUAGAAAAUGAAGAGAUACUAGUUGUAUCUUAUGGGACAACCAACAUAGCCAAUUUGUCAAAACUUUGACUUUUUAAGACAAUGAAAAAGAAGGAACAAAGAAGGUAAGAUAAAAAAACUAGAUUUGACAAAUCUCUAGAAAAGGUUACAAUUGCAUAAAAUUUAGUUAUUAUAUGACAAGUGAUUGAGAAAUGCUAUUAACGGGUGACCUUGUGUUUUUUUGCAAAAAUAAUUAUUUUCUACUUAGUAUAGAUGAUUCUAAUAAAAAGAUAAAUUUGUUUUCUAAAGAAAGAUUAGAGAUAUUUAAUGAAUUAAGUUUAACACAAAUAGAAUAAUAAUAUGUGGCUAAUUAUUUUUUAGUCAUCACACUUGUCAUAGUUAGGAAAAAAACACAGAGGUAGGUUUAAUGACAACUACUUUGAGAAAGUAAAGUUGAGUAAGGUAAGCCAAUAAGGAGUAUCUUUCACUUUGUAUUCUUCCCCAUCCUUUUCACAUCAUGCAAGGUGAUGCAUUAUGAUUAUUUUGAACAAGUCAAUGGUAAGAAAAAAUAAAAAAUAUAAACAACUAAAACCCAUAUGCUAUAUUUUGUUUGGGCUUUAUAUUUUGCUUAGAGCAUGUUUAAAAACUAUUUUUACGAUUGAUAAUCAAAAACUAUUUUUAUAUUAUUUGAUUUUAAAAACAGAAAAUAUGAUGUUUUUGGAGAAUAUUUUUUAAUUGUUUUUUUAUACUAUUUUUACUUAUUUUCUAAGAGUUGUUUUAAAAAAUAAUUAUACAAAUACGUGGAAUAAUUAAAAAUAAAGUACUAAACAUAAAAUUUAUUUUUGAAACAUAUUUAAAACUAUUAAAAAUAUGUUAAAAAUAUUUUAGAUUUCUAAACAGACUUUUAUUUUACAAAAUAUCAUAGAGCAGUUUUCAGAUAAUAAUUUUUGAAAAUUGUUUUCAAAAAUUAUUUUUCAGAAAUGUUUUUAAAAGCAAUUACUAAAUGGACCCUUAAUCUAUUUACUUUACAUUUAUUUUCAUAUAUUUAUACAUUAAUACUAUAGUUUUAUACAUGAUAUUCCUCUUAUUACUUCAAUCCAAAAACUUAAAUUGUUAAUGUAAUAGAUUAAAACUAUUGUAUAUCUAUUUAUUAAAACUUAAAAUAAAAAAUAGAUUAAAAGUUGAUAAAUUAUUUUUAUUUGUUAUUUUAAACUCAUUUUUACUUAUUUACAUAAAGAUUAAAUAACUUAAAGGCAUAAGAUUUUAACUAGUUUUAAUUAUAUUUGAUUUUCUUUGAUUUUUUUUUUAGGAUAACAAAACAUGAAAAAAUCAUUUUUUUUUGUCUUUUUUCUUUUUAUAUCUUUCCUUAUUAUUUUUAGGAACCAAACAUAACCUAAGAUUAUUUGGAUAAAACACUAGGCCCAUACUCCCCAAUAUUAUUUAUUCACAUUUUAAAAUAAUAAAUGAUUCAUAUUUUUCUGGCAUGCAGAUAUUGUGUAAAUUAAAUUUUUGAAAGUUUCAUAAUUGUCUCCAUAUUUACUUAAAUAUAUAGAAUUCUUAAACAUAAAUUUCUGUCCCUUAAUUAUUUCUACUAUGAAAUUCACAUAAGUUAAGUGCUAUCCCAAACACGGCCUAAAAGCAAUUAAAAGAUAAUAUAACAAAAUUAAGGAAAACCAUACCUGUCCAAUUACGGCAUUGGGCAGCUUUGACCCAAGGCUGUCUUCAAGCUCCUUCCCCAUCGGAGCGGCACCGGAGAUCACAGUCCGAAUCGACGAAAGAUCAUACUGGUGAGCGACCGGGCUCUUUGCGAUAGCCAAGAGAAUUGGAGGAACAAAUGGUGCAAUAGUCACCUUAUGUUUCUGAACAAGUUCCAUGAGUGUGUUUAUCUCAAACUUCUGCAUAAUCAGAAUUGCAGCCCCAACUCUAAGGCCACAAAGCACAACUGAGCUCAGGGAAUAUAUGUGAAACAUGGGUAACACGCAUAAAAUCACAUCGUCCAGGUGGAAAUACAGAUUAGGGUUUUCGCCAUCGACCUGCUGAGCGACACUGGUGAUCAUGCUUUUGUGAGUUAGCAUCACCCCUUUUGGAAGCCCCACCGUCCCGGAUGAAUAAGGCAGCGCGACAACAUCGUCGGGGCUGAUGUUAACAUCCGGGAUGUCAUUCUCGUCGGCCUGUGACAACUCCGAAAAAUGCAAACAACCCGCCACCGGCUCGUCAAUGCAGAUGAUUUUCACAUCGUUUUCUUCAGCGAAUUUCUUCACUUUCUCGGCAAAACAAGCUUGAGUGAUUAUAAUUCUAGCGCUUGAUGCAGUGGCUUGCUUCUCAAUCUCGGCCGGCGUGUAAAAGGGGUUCGCCGUCGUGCUAGUUGCACCGAGAUAAGAGGCGCCGAGAAAUGAGAAGACAAAUUCCGGGCAGUUUUGGAGUAAAAGCAUGAUAGCAUCACCUUGUCGGAUGCCUAGCCUGUUAAGGCCGGCAGCCACUUUACGUGCGGUGAGAUGGACAUCAGCGUAAGUGUAGAUGUUGCCAUUGCCGGCGUUGAUGAGGCAUGGAUUGGAGCUGAAUUUGGAUAUGUGCUGGAAGCAAUACGAAUGUAAUGGGAGAUGACUCGGGAUGUUGAUGUCGGGAAGUUUCGAUCGGUAAAUGAACUCCUGUGUGGCCUCCAUGGGGUUUGAAUUUUGGCUUAUCUUUACCUGCGGUGCUUCAAUUUUUGGUGUGUAUGGUUGGAGGCAAUCAAUAUAUUUAGUAUAUUUAGUAGGAAGGGUAGAGGAAGUGAAGACAUAAAGGUCUUACAUUUUGUAGGAGGGAAACAAAAUGGAAGUUUAGGUAGGUUAGCCAUCGAAAUUGACUCUGACUAACUAUGUUAUUUAAAGUUAUGUUUGGUUAGAAAAAUACUAAAAAAAAGAAAAAAAAAUUAUAAAAGAAAAUAAUUUUUUAAAUUAUCCUAUAAAAAUAUUAAAGAAAAUCAAAUAUAAUUAAAACUAAUUAAAAAUUUAUGUAUUUUUAAAUUAUUUAAUUUUUAUAUUGAUGAGUUAAAAUAACUAAAAUGAGUUUGAAGUAAAAAAAAAAAAUUUAUGAACUUUUAAUUUAUUUUUUUUAUUUUUCUUCACUUUUUUUUUUCUUUUUAUUUUUUCUUUAUAUUUUCUUUCUUUUGCAUUUUCAUUCAAAUUUUCUGGAACCAAACAUAGCCUAAUUUUUGUAAAUUAAGGGUUUGUUUGUUUGAUUUUUAUAUUGCAUUCGGUUGUGUAUAUAUAUAGAUAUUUGAUUUUAUCUAGAUCUUCCUUUUAAAAGAUUGGAAAUUGUAGCGGCCUGUAAGUACCACUUCAAACCAGUAGGAUGGCAUCUCCGGGUCGAAGUGAUAAUUAAUCCAAGUUGAAUUCAAACAUGAAGCAUUUUUGUCCAAAAGUUCAAUUCAAUCCAACCUAAUGUUCUAAUUGAGUUGUUUAAUCUAAAUCCAUUUAAACUUACUUUUCUAAGCUUGAAUUUAAAUUAAGUUAGAUGUAAUUUAAUAAAUAUUGAUGUGGAUUGAUUUAUCUGGUCUAUCAUAAAAAUUUAGAUUGGAUAGGUUAAAUCCAAAAAAAAGAAAACAAGAAAAAGAAAACCAAAUAAUCGAUAGGAUCACACUUGGAGUAAAGUGGAUAUGUGUUUUUACUCUUAAUAACCUGAAAAAAUUGAUUUUUUUUUAAUUCAAUUAAUUCUCAUAAUAGAGUAGCAAAUAUUAAAAGCAACCCAACACACAAGAUGUAAUAAUUUUUUUUUACAAGGAAAAUCUUCACACAACAUACUAAGAUAAAAAAUCAUGGGUUUUUAAGACCUCAAAUCAACAAUUCAUUAUUUGAGAAAGUAGUACAUAGAAUAACCUAAUAGAUGCUAUUUUUAAACUUACUCUUUAGAAUUUAUGCUACAAUCCAUGUUCGUGAAAUAACACUUCAUGAUCUAUCACAAAAAAUUAGGUUGGAUAAGUUGAAUCUAAAAAGAAAAAGCAAAUAUAUUUUAUACAUUUGUUUAACAAAAGCAUAACUAUCAAGUAAAUCCAAGCAUUAAAUCAUCCUACCAUCAACUUGCAUUUAAUAUUGAAUAACGAUUUUAUCAACAAAUUUCUAAGGGAAUGUAAGAAUGAAUGAUUAAUUCAAAGAUCAUCAAAAUUAUCCAACAAAGCUAAUAAUAACUACUAUAUAUGUGAACUUAACAUCAAUCUUUAUCAAUCCGCUCUUAAAUAAUUAAAAGGUGAUAUAGAUAAUAUCCAUUUAACUCAAAGUUUACAAACCAUUGUAACUAAUAUGACAAUACAUAAAUUUACAAAAUUCAUUUGCUUAAUCAACUUGACAAUUACAACCCUACAUUAUAGUAAUAAAAUUAUCAAAAGUUCCAACACAAAAACAAAAAUACACACACAUGUACUAUUAGUGAUAUACAUAAAUAUAUAUAAUUUAAUUUUAUAUAAAUAAACAAUAAAUCAAGUUCAAGUUGCCCUUCAAUCCCCGACAUAACUCUUAUAUUGAAACGACUUAUAUCCAAUUGUAUAAAUAUUAUUCUCUCUAAACCCAAAGAGACCCUUAUAACUUUAAAAUGUGUUUUAAUGUCUCACAUUGAAUAGAAGAAAAAGUUUCUUAUAUUAUAUAUAUAUAGACUCUUCUUAAUCUUGUUGGUGCAUUAUAAAAUUGUGGGAUCCCUUAGGCUCAAAGUGGAUAAUAUCCAUACACUUGGGUGUGGGUUGUUACAUAUACUUAAAUUUGAUUCAAAUUGACAUUUUUUACACUAGAAGAUAAUUAGAUUAAUAAACCUGUUUCCAUUUAAGAAAAAGGUGAAAAAACAUGCACAUAUUCAAUUUUAUAAUUUUCAAUAAGCAAAGCCUUUAAAAGCAUUUUAAUUUCAAAAAUAGAAUCAGUGACCAUAUUCACUAAUUUUAUCGUUAUCUUUGAUUAAAGUCAUAUUUUAAAAAGAAAAAAAAAACAAAAAUAAUAUUCCAAUACUCUAAAAUAAUAAAAUUUCAAAAAAUGUUAUUUAAAAUAAUUUCUAAAAACUUGUACUAUUAAACAAAGCACUUAAUUAGCUUUCUUUUUAAGAAAAAUAAACAAAUUUCCAAGAUCAAUUAAUUGGUCAAAAUUUAGAAAUAGUCUUCACAUAGCAGUCGACUUUUCUCCAUUCAAAGCCUGAAAUACGUUCAAAAACAUUCUAUUAUGAAAUUUUUGUGAACGGAUCAUUGCAGUGAUGAUACCAUUUAAUUAUUUACUACAACCACAAUUCAUAUCUACUCUUCGAAAGUGGAGUAACUGGUACGGCUGCUUGUCUCCUGAAUACUAAUUGAAAAAUUUUUGGCCAAGACAAAAAAAAGAAAAAGGUUGAAUGAUGGAUUCCGAGGACUUGAACUCCUGUAAAGAUUUGGGUUUAAAAUCAAGUUGCCAAUAAUAUUUAUUAAUGCAUUAGAACUUUUCGCUAGAUGGUUUAAAGGCAUCAAAUCGCCAUCUUUCAUUUUUAACCAAACUGAUAGGUUAAAAUCUUGUUUUAAUUAAUUGCUAUAAAAUUGUUAGGAGUAAUUCUAAAAGCUUUAAGAUAUUUCCUUUUUGUUGUUGUUGUUGUUUUCUGUUUUUUUUUCUUUGGGUUUAGAGUAUUUUUUCUCCCUUUACUUCUAUACUCUAAAUCACGAGCCCUAUCAUUUUAUAGGUUAUCUAAUUGUAUUCUUUUUCAUAAGUCUAUUUACUACAUAUAAUCUUUACAAUUUAUCUUUAUCUUAUAACUUUUUCUCCUCAUAAACUACAACACUUGUAGAGAUAUUUUUAAUAACUUUCCUUAUUUUAUAAGGAAAACUAAUAAUACAACACAUAUGAAUAUAUAUAAGAAAUAUUCUAUACAAAAAGGAUUCUAUAUAAAUUAGGAAUUUGAAAUACUACCUAAUAAUUUCCUCCUUGGUUUAAAUUUCAUUUGUAGAGAAUACUUGGAUUAUUCCAUUCCAUUCCUAUCCUUGGACUAGUUAGGGCGUAUGCAAUUAUUCAUAGGCUUCUCUAAAUCUAUACACAAUGGAAAACAUGACGUAAAAAAACAAUGUUAGAUCUAGAGAUUAGUGGUUUACGUCAAAUAUGGAUGUUCCUAGAUUUAAUUCCUGUCAUUGAAGAAGCGUCAGAAGCGCGAUAAGCAUCAUUGGCCUCACUAACCUAAUGAUCUUUCAUCAUGAUGUCUCUUUUUCCUUAAAUCUAAGUAAUAGUAGGGUGAAAUCCUCUCUAAUGUUUAAUGGUUAGAGCUCUUUACUCUCUGGAGUGAAUAAAAUGUAAGACUAAAACUCUAACCCCUAAAGAGGGUAUAUAUAAACUUAUAGUGGCUUAAGUAAUUUAAACCCAUUUUAGGUUUGACACUUAAACUAGCCUACUUAGAUCAUAAUUGAUUAAUUAACCUUAUUGGGCUCUAAUUAAUCAAUUAGUCCAAUCCAUAGAAACCAUUCACAAGUUUUUGUACAAUCUUACAUAUUUACCAAAAUGCCUUUGUGAACACAUGUAAAUAAAGAACUCAACUAACCAUCGUAAACUAUGCUAUCAAGGUAUACGAGCUCAGACAGAGACCAUUGGGACCCAUAGGAAAAUAUUAACUCCCUUAGAAUUCAACAUCCCACUAUAGAGAGUGAAUUGCACUCUAGCAUCCUAUGCAAAUUUAUCAUGAAUUGGUAUCUGUAAUCUAAUAAGGUGAAUACUAUCAAACUCUUAAGAUUUGCCUUAACGAUUCUUGAGUCUUAGAUCCUCCUAUUAUGUAAUCAAUUGACGUAUUCUAACUCACAUAGAGUACAUGUGAAGUUCUAGUUAAGGAACUAAUACGAUUAUAAAUUUAUUGAACAUACAUCAUUAAAAUCACCUAAAGAAACACACUGUUUCAAUUCCAUAAGAUAUCAUGGUGCCUUUAUUAAGAAUACUUAUUAAUACUAACUUUCAUCAAUAGUGACUCAAUGUUUAAGAAAUAUAUGACUAUCUCAGGGUUUCACUCAUAUAUCAAAUUCACUAUAAACUUUAGUACAAACUCAAUAUUCUCUCAUGAUUGAGAGACCAUAUAGUUUAAUAAAUUGGUGAGAUCAUAACUACCCAAUAACCAAAUAUCAUGACUUACCAUGGGUCUUAUCUAAUGUGUUGCUAUAUACAAUAGUGCACUCACUAUGAGAAUCCAUCCCAAUGAUCGAGACCAAUUAUAUAUCCUCGCUCCAAUUAGGAGAUAAUGCAUUAUUGCCUCAAAUGGAUUGUCUAAGUUUAUGAUCCAAUUAUAAACUAAUCAUUUACUUGCAAGGAAACUAUGAGUUGAAUCCUCAGUUCAACUCUUAAUAUACCUAAGUCAUGUAUAAUAUAAGAAAUGUUAGACCAAAAUGUUUAUAAAGUAUAAUACAUGAAAUAAAGACAUAAAUAGGAAACAUGAAUCUUAUUAAAUAAAUAAUAAAUUCAUAAAUAAAUAAUAAAUGUCAUUAAGUUAAUCUUUCAUCUCUCCAUGACAUAUAUUUCUAUCAUAACAAUUGAUUUCACUUUCAACAAAAAUUCUUUCUAUCAUCCUCUUAGGUACUUUGUUCUUUGACUCUUCCAUAAAUCUUUAACCUGAGCUUUGACAUCACUUGUUGUGUCAACAAAAUUUCAAGGCAAACAUAUUGAUGCAAGAACAUGAAGAUAAAAUAAUAUAUACUUAUAGGUCAAUCGGGCCACUAGCAUAGCCAGGAAGUGCCUAGAAGGGGCAAAUGCCCUUCGUGAAAUUUUGAUAAAAAUUAUCAAAGAUAUGGAAUUUGAUCUCUUGAGCUUAAAAUUUUUAGAAAACUAGCUACCUAUCACUAGCCUUACAUAACAAGUUUGAUUUUGUUUUACCCCCUUGAAAUAAGUUCCAUAUAUAUUGCCCCCCCUCAACCCCUUUCUUAGCUUUGCCCUUGAAUCAUGCCUACCUCCAUCGAUAAAAGAAAUUAUUUAAUUACACUAUAAAGAAUAUUAUUGAAGAUAGAAAAUAGAUAGAAUUAUCAUGUCUAUAUCACAUGUUUCUUUAAUCCUUACAUCUACACCUUAAACUAAGAGUUCCCUCACUCCAUUGGGUAUCUCUCAUUCUUCGUCAUUCAAGGGAUAUUUUUAUUUUUAUUUUUAUUUGGAUGUAGUAUGUGAAUGUCCCUAAAGUAUGAUAAUGUGAUAUUAGGCUUAGGCUCAAAUCGGCCAGAUGCAAGUAAUGGGAUCUUGAUUUGAAGGUAAAUUCUAAGGAACAAUCAAUGCAUACAAAUGAAUUUUAUGCACAUGUCAUACCCUACUGCAUUUUAUAUUACAUAUUAAACUAUGAAUCUACCAUAUGUUUACAAAUAUUGAAUGUGUCAUACAAUUUAUGUAUGACAUAAUUAUAAUGGUCAUACUUCAUACCAUAUAUAUGUUUUGUGCUGUAAAUAAAUGUUUUAAAAAAAAUUAUAUUUUAUUAUUAUAAUUAUCAAUUUUUAAACGAAUUUCAUUUGGUUUUUAAUAGUUGGAAGAUUAUAUUUUUUUUAUUAAGAUAUUAAAAUUAUAGAUAAGACCUGAUAUUUUAUCUUCUGUACUAAAUAUAAUUGUAACAUGUUUUAUAUAUUCAACUACAAAUAUGUCUUGUGGGUCUAGGUUGGCCCAAUUAGCCCAGCGGACUAUAACGGGAUGAAGCCCAGAGUCUUUGGGCCCUGAAUAGGAGCUCAUUUUCAAAAACUUCAUGGGCUUUUGAAGAGCAGCUGGGCCCAAAACAUAUACUUUUGUCAUUGAAUUGCAUCGUAAUAUGUUUAUACUAUAUAUUAAACUACAAAUAUGUCAUGUGGGUCUAGGUUGGCCCAAUUAGCCCAGCGAACUAUAACGGGAUGAAGCCCACGGUCUUUGGGCCCUGAAUAGGGGCUCAUUUUCGAAAGCUUCAUAGGCUUUUGAAGAGUAGCUGGGCCCAAGACAUAUGCUUUUGUCAUUAAAUUGCAUUGGAACCUUUUUUUUUUUUCUUACUUAGAAAAUAAUAAUAAUUAUAUAUUCGGUUUUUCCCUUGUUUAAUUUGUGAAGAUUAGAAAAUAAUUAUAAAAAAUAAAAAAUAUCUUCACUUUAAAAAAUGAUACUCGACUGUGGCCCAAUUAAUAAGUUGACUUAUUCACGACCCUCCAAUUUUUCUAAUUAAAUGACCAAAUUUAGAAAAUAGUAUAAAAUGGGACUUACAUAUUACCCAAAUUAGAAUAAAAUAGUGUUGUUUAGAGAUAAAAAAAAAUAUAUUCACAUGUAACACAACCCAAAUAAUAAAAUUUGUAUUUGAUUAAAAAUGAUAAAAUAAUCUUGAUUUGAAAAAAUUAACUUGCAUUUUUUUUUAUUUAAGAAUGAAAUGCAAUAUUUUCCCUUUUUAAUCCUCCAUCAAUAUUUUUUGCACCUAUUUUUAUAAAACAAUAAAGGAUAUUUAUGGGAAAUUAAAUUACACUUACCAUAAAAGGUAGGUUAAGCAGAUGCUUGAUAUGAAUAAAAAAAAAAGAGUUAUUUUUAAUAAUGUUUAUAUAAUAAAAAUGUAAUUUUUGAAAGAAUCAUCUUGUGAAUCAUAUUAUUUAGGAAACUCUUUUAAUUAGCUUAAAUGAGAUCUUAGUUAAUGGCUCUUACUUUUUGAUAAUUUCAUCAUCAAUUUCGUAUCCUAUGAUAUUUUUUAAAAUAGAUUUAUCUUAAAUAGUAAUUAAAGAUGGGAAAAGUGUGGACAAAGUACAUUUAUCAAAUAAUUAAGUUUUUGAUCACUCAAUUUUUCUAUUGAGCUGAAAAUAUCCUUAAAAAAAAGAAGCGUGAUGUAGCUAACUUUAGGUUGAAGCCAAAUUUGGGUUGAUGCAAAUUAACUUAGAGUAGUUAGAAAAAACUCCAAUGCAAAUAUGUUAGUAUAAGAACACAAAGAUAAAGUAAUAUAUACAUAAAAAUAUAUGAAGUUUUAAUGUGGUUCGCAAUUAUAUCUACAUCUAUGGAUGAUAAAGAUUAUUCCACUAUAGUAUAGAAAAUAUUAUAAAUUAAAGAUAUCAGAUACAAUUAUAGGGUUUCGAAACAUCCCAUUGUUUCCCCUUCUUGUAUCUAUACCCUAAAACACCAACCAUCUUGAUCGACAAGGUUCAUUAUUCUUCACAUCUCUAUCUAUCACAAGGUCAUCUUAUCUCAUAACAACCCCACCCUUCCAACUUAGAAUAUUUAUAAAGUUAUUUCUAAUAAAUUUAUUAAGAAAUAUAAAAUAUUACAAUGACAUACAAAUAUAAGAAAUAUAUUUUAUACAAUAUUUUUUUUCGAAGGAAUAUAUACCAAUUAAAAAUUUGAGACACUUUUCAACAAUCUAUACCUUUGAUUAAAUUUCAUUAAGUCAAUAACUAUAUAAUACAUGCUUUCAAGAAACUUAUCUAAACCAAAUCCUUACUUCACACCAUGAUUUCUUUGCACAUCAUGCUCUCUUCAGGUAUUACCAUUAGUUUCAUGCACUAUGGUACUCUAGGGUGUCAUGAUCCUCUUAUGUGAUAUUCAUUUAAACCAUUUAGAUACUUCAUAGUUUCUAUUUUUUCAAGAUGUAACAAGUGUAUAGAAAAGUUAUUUUGAAUAAUGAAACUAUAUUCUUGUAUUACAUUAUGGUAUGAGAACAAUUAACUUUAUAUUCAACAAAAAAUUAUUUUUGAAUCCUAUUAUGUUCCAUUUUUUUUUUCAUUGACUCUUCUAGAAAUUUUUUAUGAAGACUCUAAUGUACUAUCGUGCAUGAUCGUCUUGUACACUAUAAUUCUCUCAUUUCUAGACCAUAACUUCAUUGCUUGAACUUCUCAAACAACAUCAUUUUUAUGUUUCAAGAUAUAUAUUUAGGUUUUUUUAAAGUAAUUAUUAAUAAAGGUCAACAUAUAUCUUUCACCAUCAUAUAAUGUAACUCGUAAGAGUCGGAUGAAUGUAAUCCAAAAAUACCUUUUGUUUAAUAAAUGACUACACUGAAUUUAAUACCACGUUAUUUCCUGAACAUAUAAUAGUCACAAAAAUUCAAUUCUCUUGCUUUCUAUUCACCAAGUAAAUUCCAUUUUCUCAAAAUCAUCAAUCAUCUCUAACUCCUUUGUCCAAGUAUAUGGUUCUUUAUAAAAUGAACAUAUACUAAAUAAGAAUUUAAGAGCUCUUCAAUGAAAACCUCAUUUUGCUAAUUAAAAAUAUUAAGAGUUGGUAAUGCAACUCCUAUACAAAAUAAUUCAAAAAAUAAAGCAACCGAUGAAAGAAAGAAAUUGAGGAGGUUUUGAAAACCAAAGCUACAUGGAGCCUAGGCCAAUGAGGAGAAUUUCAAGGCUCAUGAGUUACUAGAUCUAGCCUUAUCAUUAGAACUAGAUCUUAAUGUGAAAAUUCAAAGGCCAAACUUGUGAGCCACCAAAAUUAACCUAGGUUUCUAAACACUAUCAAAGAUGGCUUAGGCCAAUGAUAGAAUAAAAUAGCGGGAUUGAACUUGAUCCUUUCACCCCAUGUACAAAGAAAGAGCAAACUUUUCAUUAGGCUAAAUACCACAAUCUCCCUACUUCUUGGCCUCUGAAAUAAUUCUUUAAUUUAUUUUUGCCCCUAGGCCCAAUGAAAUGCUUGCAUUCUAAGCCUUCUUAACACAACUUUUGAAAUGAUCAUCAUUGAUUUUUAGACAUGGGGUUUUCAAAGCCAAAAAACAUAUUGAAGAAAAUAUAGGUAAAGCCCCUUUUGAUAAUUAAAUCUAGUCGAAGUAGGAGAGCCAAAACCUAAGCAUCUAAAGAAGGAUUUUGUGGUGGCCGGUGGAAUAGGUCAAUAGAGUGGUCGGUUAGCAAACUUUUAGAGUGGCCUCUUUCCCUUCUCCUUAGGAUUGUUAGGUUAUGUUGAGUCAAUCAAUUGAGGGGUUCACUAUUGGACUGUGGGAUUCCUAAUGGUUACCUUAACAAUUUUUAUUACAUAUAGUAACUAGUGAAUAGGUUGACUGAGCUGUCAACCGAUUCCUCCAAAUAAGGUAUUAAAAGAAUUUUUUUUUAAUUUUUAUAUAAGAUGUUCAAUUUUUAUAUAAAAAAUUUUAAUUUUAAAAAUAAAAAAAUAGAAAAUAUAUUCAAAUGUACACUUAAUUUAUGUUUGAGCUCCUACAUGCAUGCUUACAAACAAAAUCUACAUAACAAAUGGAAGGGACCCAAGCUAGGUUAUAUAUAUAUAUGAUCCAAUUAAUAAUCCAAACUUCCUUUGUCCAAGAAAAAUUCCUACAAAUUUGGAAUGCACUAAUGUCACGACAAAAGAAAAGGAAAAAGAAAAAAGAAAAGGUGUUCAUGAAAGAAAACCUAAUCCACUAAAAUUUUCAAAUCCCUUAUGAUUUCCAUGUCUGAACUUUGAACCAUAUCGUAGUGGGAAAAUCAAUAAUAAAUGAUAUGCUACAAAGGCACCUGAAAAGUGUAAAAGAGCAUUAGUUUGUCCAUGUAAAAUAAUAAUAAUAAUAAUAAAAUAAAAUAAAAUUCUUGGAGCCACAUAUUCCAUUGAUACAUGCAUAGGGUAUGUUCACAUAUGAAGGCAUCCUAGUUGUUUUACACUUGGGAGCAAGAACAUUCAUGAUGAGAAAACUAGUCUUGAGGAUAUAGUUAAUGUCCAUUACUAGAACAUGAGAAAAUGUGCAUGUGUUGUUGUAGUUAGUGUGAACCAAGAAAUAAGAACCCUAGAAAAGUGAGAGAAAAAGUGGGAAAGUGAAGAGAGAAAAGGAAUGUAUCAGUGAUCACCUUACCCACUUAGAGGACCUCAGUGGAGACACCUCAGUUUCCAAUAGGAGAUGUGUCAAUUUAUAGGGUCAACUUGAGCUGUUCUUUUGUUUGCCACCAGUCAUAUAAACCCUAGCUACCUUACCUUGCAUUCUAACAAACCAUUGGGGCCAUGGAGUUUUCCUUUGGUUUCUCCUCAACCUUGCAAAUUUCAAAUGAAAGUGAAAAGCGAUUCCCAUGUUGUCCACUUCUAAGUGAACUAAAUACUAAAGUUAUAGAAAUAACUAAAAAUUAGAAGAUGAGACACCUACUGCUUGUUUGGUAAUUAUUUUUUAAAACAAUUUUUUUUGUUUUUUCAAAAUAAGAAUAUAGGAAAACACUUCCUCUAACUAAAAAACAAAAAGUAGGAUGUUUCAAAAUCAUAUUUUUUUAGUUGUUUUUAGUUAUUUCUAUUUGUGUUUUGAAUAUUAUUUUUAAAAAUAAUUAUACAAAUAUGAAAAAUGAUUAAAAAUAAAGUACUACCUUUAAAAUUUACUUUAAAACAUAAAAAAAAAAAAGUUAAAAACAUUUUGAUCAUAUUUAGUUGGUUGAAUAUAACAUGAGAUAUGAUAAGAGAUGAGAUAUUAUAUCAGGAGAAUUCUCAUUAAGGGUGACCAAAAAGGGUCACCAUGUUUGCAAAUUCCUAUAAAGUCUUUUCAAAAGUUGACAAUUUUAGAAUUCCAAUGAUAUCAUUUUUUAUCUUUUGCCUUUUAUUCCUAUUUAAUUUUACCUUUUUAUUGUUUUUCUUUUAUACUUCUUUACACAUUAUUAUUAUUAUUAUUAUUAUUAUUAUUAAUUAUUAAUAUUAUUAUUUAUAAUAUCAAUAUUUUGAAUUAUUCAUGUUAUUUAUUAAUAUAAUUCAUAUUAAUAUUAUCUAUUUUUAUGAUUAUUAUUCAUAUUUUUAAUAUUAUAUUGAGAAUAAUAUAAUUAUAUUUUUAUUAUUACAACUAAAAAACCCUAAAAGAUAAUUUUUAUUUUUUUUAAUUCUUAAGGCAUGUAAGCUUUAUUAAAAAAUUAUUAUUAUUAUUAUUUUUGUUUUUAUGCUACAUUAGGACUAAUUGAAUUAUUAUAAUUAUUAUUAUUAUUAUCAUGAACACCUCAUUACUAUUAUUAUUUAUGAUAUUAGUUUUAUAUUAUUAAUUUUAUUAUUAAUAUUAUUAAUACAACUAAUUUUAUAACCAAAUUAUAGGUACUAAAAAAAUACAUUGAUUUUUCGAUAUUAAUAUUUUAAAUAUGUAAUACAUUAAGACAUAACUUAAUUUAAUUUUUAAUUUUUCUAAAACAAACACUUGUGAAUAGCAGCCUUAUAUUCCUUAAAAUUCUCUUUACUAUAAUUAGCCUUAGAAGACAUUUUUUUUUUAAAGUUUAUAAUUUUCAUUAUAAAAAUGAUUGAAAUUAAUAGUUAUAUUGCAAACUUAAACAUUUCAAAAUUUAUGAAAUCUAUAUAAUGAAAAAUAUAAUAACUUUAUAUUUUUAAUUAUUAAAAUGAAUUGAUAAUUUGUAAAAUUAUUAUGUUAUAUUAUUAUUAUUAUUAUGGAUAAGUUAUUUAUAAUAUCUUUAAAAUAAUAAUUAAAAGAAACAAUAAUUUAUAAUUAAUUAUUAUAUUAUUUGUAUUUAUUACUAUGAAUAUUAUUCUUAUUUAAUAGGUAUGAUACUUAUAUAUUGAACUUGAGGAUACUAAAAGUACAAUAUAUUACGACAUGUUUUAUUUUCAUUUUUUAACAAUUAUAAAAAAAAAUAUUGUUAUAAAAAUUGGGUUAAUCUAACAUAAGGUAAUCACUAUAGAGGAGGGUUGUAUAGAGUGAUGAUCUUUUUUUGCAAAUUUAAAUUAUAUGAAUGUAACAAACAAUUAUAUGUAAAUAUAUAAUAAAAUAAUAUAAAGACAAUUGCAUAUAAAGUAAAAGAGUAGGGAAAAGAGAAUGCAAACACAAUAUUUUUAUAGUGAUUCAAUGCAACCUGACCUACGUCCACUCUCCUCUAACUUCAAUCUCAAGCUUCAGGUUUCAUUAUUUCAAGACUUCCAAACCAAACCUUCAAGUAAUAAAAUUGGAUUAUGAUUCCAAUCUACUCUCUUGGAUUUUUGGCUCAAAACACCUUUUACAAUCCUUAAGAGAUAUCUCACUCUUAAACAAUCUCUCAAGUGAUACCCCAUACUUGAGUAUCCCUAAGUGAUACUUCACACUUAAAUUAUUCCUUUCAAAGAUUUAUAAAAGAUAAGAAAUAAUAUCACAAAAUCAUAGUACAAAACUUUAGGUUCAAAUAUACAAGAAAAAUUAGGAUUGAAAGGUGCACUAAUAAUAUUCAAGUUUUAGAACAAUGAUGUACUAAAAGACAAUUUCUCAAGGCUCAAAUAUAUUCAAGAAAUGUUUAGGAAGGUUAAACUCUUGAAACAAUGAAGAUUAAGUCUUUCUUAUAGAGGAAAACAAUCAAACUAGCCAUCGAGGGUUUGACCAGUUGACUAGCCAUUAGCAUUUAAUACUAGACAGAUGACCAUUGGACCUCGACCGUCCCUUGAUCGGACCUCGACCGAUUGAGGUCAAGCUCAAUCUGUUGAGGUUCAACCUUGAUCGGUUGAAUAGACAUUAUGGAAAGAGAAAAGAUUUUUGCACCAUUCGACUAGUUGAGCUGAAUAGAUCGACCGAUUCCUCAUCCGAUUCAACCGGUUGAGCUUUUUUUGGCUCAACAACUAUCAUUGUCAACUUAAAACCUUUUUAAACAAGCUUGGAAAACAUUUGACACAAGAUUUUAGUUGAAAACAUGAAAUCAUCCAAUUUUAAAGGAUUUAAAACAAAAUUACUUUUUCAUGAUUUGGUACAUAAAUUAAUAAUGUAAUACAUGAAAGACCUAGUGCACCUACAAACAUUACAAAGAGAUCCUAUAAAGUUUAGGUGUUGAAAAACAUUUCUCUUUGAGGUCUUCUUCUUAUUGAUUUCUCUUUAACUUGAUUUUAUCUUUGUGAUUGCUAUUUUGAAAAUUUUCUUACCUAAUCACACUUGAAAUAUAAUGAUUAAUUCCAAACCUUGUUUUGUUAUCAUUAAAACCGAGAUUAAUCAAACCUUGGUCACAAAUAUUAUAAUAUUUUCUUAAUAAUUAUAUUAUAAGGUUAAACAAUAAUUUGUAAAAUAAUUAUAUUAUAUAUUAUUAUUAUUAUUUUGGAUAAGUUAUUUUAUAAUGUUUUUAAAAUAAUAAUAAAUGAAAAAAUAAUUUAUAAAUAAUUUUUUAUAUUGUUUGUAUAUAUUAAUAUUAUUCUUAUUUGAUAUGUUAAUAAUAAUAAUAAUAAUAAUAAUAUAUUACUAUAUGCCUUAAACAACUCAAAGUUAUAAAAACAAAUUUUUAUUAUAAUAUUUUUUAAAUAAUUAUAUUGUAAAUUAAACAACUCAAAAUUUUUGAAGUCUUAUUUAAGAAAAAGAUAAAAAUAAAAUAAAAUAUUUAUUCUAAUAUUUUCUUAUGAAAUCUUCUUAAUAAAAAAUAUAAUAAAUUUAUUUUUUUAAUUAUUAGAAUGAAAUAAUAAUUUUUAAGAUUAUAUUAUUAUUAUUAUUCUGAAUAAGUUAUUUAUAAUAUCUUUAAAAUAAUAAUAACUAGAAAAGAAAAAGAUAAAAUGAAGAAAAAACAAAAUAGUGAAAAUAAAAAGUAGGGAUAUGUUUGACUUUAAAGUGAAAGUUAUAAGGGUAUAUUUGAGUUUUUAUAUUUUGAGGCCAUUAAAAGAAUUAUCAAAGUUGAUGACCCUAUUGGGUCAUUAUCACUCAUAGCUCACCCUAUACCAUAAUUCUCCCUAUUAUAUUCUAUCUCAUGUUUAGUUGGUAAUGAGGUAUGAUAAAUUAUCUUAUCAUUUAUCAUAUCAUAUGUUCAACCAAAUAUGAAAUAUAAUAAGUAGUGAAAUCUAUUAUCCAGUUUUUAUUUUUAUUUUUUAUUUUUUUUUAUUUCUAUCACUUCUAAAUGACAUAUGCUAAUCUUAUGCUAGGAUAUGAGAUAUGCACAUUCCAUAUAUCAUAAUUUAUUUAUUUUUAUCAAUUUUUUUAAUAUAUUCAUUUUACAAAAUAAUUUUUUUAUUAUAAAUUAAAUUUAUGGUUAAAAAAACUAAAAUAAUAUUAAUAUAUGAUAUAUAAUUUUUUUAUUAAAUAACAUAAUAUAAAAAAAUGUAUUUAUAAAGUUUAAAUAUUUUAAUUAUGAAUAUUGUUAAUAUAUAGAGUUUGUUUUUCGAUAAAAAGUAUUGGAAUGUAAUAUAAUUUUUAUUUUAGAAUAUAACAGUUAAAUAGUUAAUAUUUAAUAUAUGGGAGAGAUAAUUCAAUCAUAUAUAUAUGAUUAUUUUUAUGAUCAUACAUCAUUAUUAUUUUUAUGAUAGAAUUGUUUCCACAUUUUAUUUAUUUAUUUAUUUAUUUAUUUAUUUAUUUAUUAUUAUUAAUUUUCAAUUAAAAUAGUGCAAUGGUGCGCAAUUGCACUAUUGCAUGAGUAGAAUAUCUUUAUUUUCUUGAACUUUUAUUUAAAAUUAAACAUUUUAACAUAUAUUACCAACAUACAAUUAGAAUCUCAUCUUCAUUUUGGUCCAUAUGCUAAAAAGCCUUCAUGAAGAUAGAGAUCUUGGUUUAAUAUUUUUGUCUAAUAGCAAAAGGAGAAGUAAAAAUAAUUGCUAUUAUUGUUUUAUUGAAUUUUAUGUUUAAAAUACUUUAUUAAAAAUAAAAAUAAUUGUAAUAUUUUUUAAAAAAAAUUAACUAAAUAAAAUUUGGUUCUCACAUAUUUGACUUUCUUGGUCUAUCCAGCCUACCAUAUGGGAUUUUUUUAUUUUUUAUUUUCUAGAUUUAAGCUCCAUCCCCACAUUGGAAAUAUUCAAAAAAGAAAGGGAAUAAAAAUAAAAUAAAAUAUCAGUUUUGUGAAGAUUUUCAAAAAUAAUUAUCAAAAUGAAAACAGGUUUUUUAUUUUUAUUUUUUAUUUUAUAGAACAAACAUUUCUAAAACUUUGGAAUAUUUCUAAUCUAUUUUCUACAUUUUCUAUUUUUUAAAAAACAAUUUUUAGUUAUUAUAUUUUAUUUUUAAUCAUUCCCUGUAUUUAUAAAUUUCUUUUUGAAAACAAAACAAUAAAAUGUGGAAGUGUUUGCCAGUAUUUUUUAAAACAAAACAAGAAAAGUCUUUAAGCUUCCAAAUGAGCUGAGUCCAUGAAAUUUUGAAUUCAAAAACUGUUUCAAUAUUUAAAAUGUGUUAAGUAUUUUUAUUUACAAUACGUUUGAAAGUAUUUAUAUUCGAAGUAUUUUUAGUGAAAAUGGUUUUAGAAGAAUCACAUGCGUUUAACAAUAAUUUUAAAAAGUGUUUUUAUCAUUUUUAAUACUUGAAAGAUAAAAAAUUUCAAGUAUUAAAAUAUUAAAAUAUUUUCUAAAAUCAUUAUCAAACAAAUAUUUCUUUUAAAAAAAUAAAAUUAUUAUAAGUGAUUAUUUAGCACUAUAAGUGAUUUUUAAAUUUUUUAAAAACAUUUAUUAAAUUUUGUCAAACCCUUAGUAUUUUUUCAAAAACUCUUUUUAAAUUAAAAAUAUUUUUAAAAUCAUUGUCCAACAUACUCUUAUAUUUUGGGUGAAACCUAACUUCUGUUAAAGGGUAUUUAGUUCACUUAAUAAUAAUUUCUUCUCUAAUUCUAAUCCAAAAGUCUCUCUCGCUAGCAUUAUGUUCCUGUGGUAGGUCUAUGAAAUUAAUGAAUUCAAAUCCAAGUGAUGCCAAUUUUAUUAGAUGGGGUUUGUAGAUCAUUGGGAUUUGUAGAUCAUUAAUCCGUAUCCCAACAAUGGAAGUAAUGGUCAACAACCUUGCCUAGUUGGACCAGGCAACAAAAACUGUUUUUCGCUAAAAAAAAUAAAUGUUUACACAUGUAUAAACUACAACAUUUUCCUAUUAUAAAUAGUCUACAAGUUAUGAGAACAAAUCCAACAUAUUUUACAUGGCAAAAUAUAAGAUUUAGGAUGUUUUCCCCUCUGUAUUUGGCUUUUCCUCACUUUUUCUAUCUUGGAUGGAAGUUCAUUCUUAUUUACGGUAGGGAUUGUCUAUGUUCUAAAUUUAUUGUUAAGUGUCUUGUUGCAAACUAUUUAUUUAAUUUUUUUUAAUGUGAAUAUUUAUUAUGAUGAAUUUUGGAAAUACAACUUAUUCUCUUUUAAAUUUCUUUGUAAUCCAAAUCAUGUAACAUAGCUAAUUUUCAUUAAAAAAAAUCAUAUAAUAAUUAGUUGGUAUGAAAUAGAAGUGCAACUUGGACGGGUUGAAUCGUCUGAUGUUUGGGCAGAUUUGGAUAAACAUUUUCAAUAUUCGGAUUAAGUUUGAAUUAAUUUUUCUCAACCCGGUCUCAAUUUGAGUUGGGUUUAGAUCAAGGUUCAAACUUAUUUUUAAGCAAAUUCUCAAAAUCAUUAUAACAUCAAUAUAAGUUUCAAAUGAUUUCAACAAAUAAAUUUAGGAUGAAUACAACAUUUAUUAGUAUUAUUAAUCUAAUAAAAUACAAAUAUUAAUGCAGUGAUAUGACAUGAUUCUAUCAUCGAGGGGACGGAUAUCUCUAAUUUACAUUUAAGUGAAAUAAAGAGAAAAUAUAUAUUAAAAAGAACCAUAAAAUUAAAUUCAUACUUAACCAAUCUUAAUUUCUUCCACUAAUCUCAUUCAAUUUCUUUACUUCUUAUAUUAUUACUAUUAACAAAGCCAUAUUAGUUAUGCAAUCUAGGGUUUCACUAUCUCCUACAUAUACAACAUUAAUGCAAGCCAGGCUACACAUCUCACCAUCAUCAUUAACACCAUGUUUAAUGACCAAGACCAUUAAGAAAACCACCUAAUCUCCUCUUAAGUCACAAGUAGCUUAAUUCAAACUCAGUGUAGUUUUUACAUGAAGAAGGAUGUUAGUUCACACGCAACCCAUAAUGGCAGGAUUGAAAACAACACAACAAAGGGGUCAUAGCCUUUUGAAUUAAUCUAGGCUACUAAUGAUAAUGACAGACUUGGUGGGCAUGGCUUAUAGCCUUCAAGGUAGUGCAGAUCUGAAAAUUUAUUGGCUUAAACCCUGACUAGUGGAGAUGGUGUUGGGCCCUUGGGCAUUUAUUACGUCUGAAAUUGCCUAAUCCUUGAGCUUUGAAACCUGGCUUAAGUUCUCUCAACUUUGGUACAAAGCAUCAAAUCAGGAGAUGGGUAUGGUGAUGUGUGGGAGUUUCAUGUGGAAGUGAAACAUUAUCUCAAGGGAGUUAGCACUAUGUUUGCCUAGAAUGGAGAAUUACUUAGUGAUGAUGGUAAACACCGUAUAUGUAUAUGUGUAUAUAUAUAUAAAAGCAAACAUUUAUUCAUGGUUGAAAUUUGGGGUGCAAUUCUCUUUAUUUUUCCAAGCCAUAAUUAAAGUUUGUCCAACCUCUAACCAAACCAAUGGUACUUGGCUUUAAAUUAUUGUGUCACAUGCCUCCACAUUAUUGAGAAAAGUGGUACGUACGGUUGGGAAAAUAAAAAAUUAGAAUAUGGGGGGUUGUUUUUAAAUUAGUAAAUAAAUAAAUUUUCUUUUACUCCAUAUUUAAAAAUAAUUUUUAUUCUUUAAAACAAAAAAAGUAGGGUUUGUUUGACAAUUAUUUUUUAAAAUAAUUUUUUGUUCUUAAAAUUAAAAAAAUAAAAAUAAGAAAAGACAUUUCAUAAAAAAAAUGAUGUUUAGGAUAAUAUUUUUAGUUGUUUUUACUUUUCUUUUUUAGGGAUAUUUAAAAAAAUAAUUAUAUAAAUGAUUAAAAAUAAACUAUUAAACACAAAAAAUUAUUUUUAAAAUAUAUUUAAAGAUAUUAAGAACAGGUUAAAAAACAUUUUAAGUUUUCCAACAUAUUUUUAUUUUAUAAAACAUUAAAGAAUUGCUUUCAAAAAAAAAUUUCAAAAUUUUUUUCCAAAACAUUUAUCAAGCAAGACCUUUGAUUUUUUAAAAAUAAUUAAUUUUUUUUUCUUAUUUUUCAUAGGGUAUUCUAAUAAUCAAGGAGACAAGGAUAAUGUAUAAAAAUCAUUUAGAGAAUAAAUUUUACUUCCUUUUUUUUAAAAAAAAAAUCAUCUUUUUAAAAAUAUAUGGAAUAAUGAGAUUUUCUAAAAUUGAGUUCCCAAAAAAAAUAAUUUUUUUUUAAAUAAUAGAAAACUGGGGUCAAGAUGAUUCUCAAAAUCUGAUUUUUGAAAACUACAAAAUUAAAGAAAAAUAAACAUGGUUGUACAAAUUAACCUUGGGCUUAUUAAUUUCUUAUGAGCAAAAUGUCUUAGUAACUAUUGCAAAAUUAAAAAUAAUUUCAACAAUUAAGGAGAAACACACAUUAAUUAAGGGUCUAUUUUGAUUAACUUUUGGAAAAAAAAACUCUUCAAUUAUCAAUAUUAUUCCUUGGAAAUUAUAAUUUAUUAAUUUCUUCAAAGAAAAAUGCAAAUAAUUAAGCCAAAAAAAAAAAACCAUCAAAUAAAGCUUAAAAGUCCAUGCAUGGACUUCUCAUCAUGGGAAACUUUUUGGUACUUUAUUUAAUUAAUAUACACUAUGGUCUAAAAUAGGUAGAUCUAUAAUUUGUAAUGAAGUGCAUUUUAAAAUUAAUUAAUAAAUUCAAAAGCUCUUGCAUGAAUUGGCUAAUAGAUCAAACUGUCACGUAUUGGAAAUGAAGUGAAUGGAGAACCCUUAGAGAUAAGCUGUUGAUAAAGUUGUAGAGUUAGUAAGGACCACAAACCCAAUGCUGGCCAACACUGGACCAUCACCUUCCAUUUUUAAGGACCACAGUAGCAAUUACUUUGUCAAUAUGCCUACUAUGAGUAUAAGAAACAAUUGAUAAGAUGAAUCAAGGAGACAACCAAGACAGUGAAGGUUCUGAGUGAGUACUCCAUGGGAAAAUCAAUUGGAAAAUUUUGAAAAUAUAUCUCAAUUUGAUUUUUCUCAUUAAUUAAUAGAUAUAUACCCAUUAAUAAAAUUCAUAUUUAUUUUCGACCUUGUAAUCUCGGGUUUUUGUAUCAAAGUCAAGAUAGGUUAAUACCUCGACUUAACAUGUUCUUUUUUUUUUCUUUUUCCUUUUUUUAUCCAUAAUAUCUUGUUCAAUUGUUAAUUUAAUCCAAAAUAAGUUACUAAUUUGAUACUAAUGAUUUAGCAAAUAUGUUUUAUCAAUUUAGAUUAAAUCUCAAUAACACUCCAUGAUUUUUAUCAAAGACAAUUUAGAGGAGUGGUGGUAUGGUUGAAUAUAGAAAAAAUAAUUUUAAAUAUAAAAUUUGAAUAUAAAUAAGCUGAGAAUUAACAUACAUUAGGAGAAAGAAAAUAAAUAAAAUGAUUGCUUUAAAAACAUAAAAUAAAUAAGAAAAUAAUUAAAUAAAAAUUGAGGUUUCAAAAGUAAAAUCAUUUUAAAGAUUGUGGCAUGCAUAAGACAAAAUUAUUUCAUAAAUUAUGAUUUUUUAUUUUUAAAAUAUAUGAUUCCACCUUAUUUUGAGACCUAUCUUGUAUGGGAUCAAUUUUCUUUUUCCAUUAAUUCUUAGUGAUUGGUUCAGAAACAAUUUUUGAAUAAACUAUUUAACUCUAUGAAUGAAUCCAACAAGAAAUUUUUAUUGGUUCUACCUCUAACUUUUUAUGAAUAGAAUGAAGCUUUUUAUCAAAGGAUUAGAAAAAAAUGGGUCUUCGGAUGGAAAUGAUUUGGAAUAUAUAUAAUUUGUUAAAAAAAAAAAUAUAUAUCUCACUAAUGUUUUGACUGGAAGCCUCACUCAAAAUCAGUCUCUCUAACAGAAUACACUAUGGGACAUGAAGCUUGUAAAAGAAAUUAAUAAAUGAACUCCUUCAACUAACUGCUUGAUUAAGGAGCUGGAAAUAUUAAUUAAAAGCACAAAUUUCAAUAGAACCUAGAGAGUAAGAUGCUAAAGAAAAAAAAAAGGGGGGGAAUUAAAAAAAGCAAAGAAGUAGAAGGACUUGUUCAACUUUGCAACUUUCACUUUAUUAAAUCAUAUUCCUUGUGUGCUUCUUCAGCUUUCACUGUGUCAAUAUUUCUCAUCACAUAUGUAUUGACCACUUUGUUUCAUCCAUUUACAUUCUAUAGGUUCCAUCACAGUUGAUGAUCUGGUCAAGCACCCCCCCUUCUCUCUCUCUCUCUCUAAAGUGGAAUACAAAAAGUAAAAAAGUGAAGUAUGAAAUGGUAACAUCAAUCCAUGAAAUAUCCCAAUGCCAAGGGAUGAGUGAAAGUGCCUCUUUUUAUAGAUUAAUUGAGAAAAUAUAAUUAAGGCUGACAUCGGAGGGUAGAAAGAGGUACACAUCCUUAGUGUAUGUAUGAUAAUGAGAAGAAGGAAGAAAAAUGUAGAAAUUAACUACUGAAAUCUGAGACUUGGGUCCAACUCUGGUGGAGUACAGUAUGUGGUGGACUGUAUACAAAACGUGUAUGAGGACAAAUUUGCUGGAAAAUGCUUUAAUGGCAACAUUUUUGUCUUGCAUUUGCCUUUUUAGAGGCUUUUCAUUCAUGUCCAGCUGAUCAGGUUCUGUCUAUUAUGGAUCAUUUCUCGUCAUUUUUUCUAUGUUAGAAUUUAGCUCUUGAUGCUUAUGAAGAAUUUGACAAAAUGUGGCUGGCGAAAAUGAAGAGAAAAAGCUAGUAGUACUCAUCUGAUUCAUUUCCCCUUCUUCCUCUGAUAAUCGAUUGACGUUCUCAACCUCAACUGUUUGGAGCAGCUGUUUGAAUGAAUUCCUUGCAGUUCUAUUACUCUUCUCUCAUGAUUCAAAUACUUUUGAUUGAAAAGAAAAUCACAAAAAUGAAAAAUUACAACUGAAACAAGUGGGCCCUUAAUAAUUCAAAGCCUUAGAGACAAGUCAAGAUGGCUGAACUCCUCCUGGACAUUCUCAGGUCUAGAAUCAUAGUUCAUCUCUAUCCUGGCGCCAUAGCUCAUAUCAUUCUGAAACCUACCAGCAUGUCCUUGAUGCUCAAACCCCACAACGGGUUGUUGAGUACGUCGAAAAAGGCCGGUACCACUGGCGUUGGAUCGUUGGUUUGGCCCUCCAUGAGGCCUCACAGCUGAGCUUAGCUCUCGGCUUUUCUUGGCCAAAGUCCUCUCAAGCUUGUGAGCAUUCUGGUGUCCUCCAAGGGCUUGUGAGCUGUAGAACUUCCUCUGGCAGUAGUUGCAGGAGAAGACUCGAGGCUCAGCUGGACUUAAAGGGGAUGAGGAUGAAGAAGAAGAAUGCUCAAGGACAAGUUCUAGGUUGACUUCAGUGUUAGCUAGACUGAGAUGGAGAGAAGUAUUGGGUUGAAAAUGGUCCAUAGUCUGUAGAAGAACUGAAGAUCAAGAGAUGGGGUUUAGUGAAAGUGAGAUAGAAAGAGCAAGAUAAUAUGAAGAGGUAGGUGGGGGAGGAGAUAGAGGAGGUUAAAUAGAAAGAAAGAGAGCUGUUUGGUGGGAAGGAAGGUGGUAACAAAUCAAAGGUAGUCUCUAUGGAAGAAAGAGAGAUGAGAAGAGAAGAGAUUUAAAGUAGGGGGAGAGGUUGAGGUUGUGCUGCAUUAUAUGAGAUGAUGAUGAUGAUGUAGGUGUAUACUGUUGCUGCAAACACAGAAAGCAAGAAGAGAGAAAAGGAGAUGGACUUGUGAGAGUGUGAGAGAGAUGGAGAGAGACAGAUACCUGCAAAGAUCAGUGGAGAAUCGAAGCGUUGUCGCCUCCAUUAAUGGCAGCAUUCGAACCCCUUGUCGGUUCAUGGAGAAAUUCCAUGGUAUUUCCUAAAUCCAAACCAAAUAAAAAAGAAAAAAUUAAGCAGCUCCAUUGUUUUAAAAAACACAACAAAACUGUCUUUACUACCAUGUGAAUCUACCUAUUUUACCCAUCUAUUCAUGGGUCCAAUCACACAUUGUUUUGAUCCUCAACACACACACACACUCACUUCUCUCUCUCCUCUAUCUCAUUCACCAGUGAGACACCUAAGGUCUUGCCCUGAUCAAUUUUCUAAUCUAAGUAUUAGAUGGCCAUGAAGAUAACCCAUCUUGACUAGACUAAUUAUGCAACUUGAAAACAGACAUUUAGCCCAUGACGCUUUGAAACUCCACACAUUAUUUCCAGUGCAAAGAAGAAAAGAAAAAUCUCAUUUUCACAAUUUGGCCUACAACAGUAUUGCUUGUAUGCUACCCAUCAUGAUCAGUAUCCUAGGGUUAUUAAUCCCAUCCUCUAUAUGCUUAUUGCCCAAGUCCCAAAGUCAACAUCUCCAUGUAGUUUCUGAACUACAAAUACCUAAUGGGCUGAUCACAUUUCAUAGUCAUGGUCAGAGCCAGAAAGGCAAAUAAAUCAGAAAUAGUUCUGGGGAAUGCAAAGAACAGAUGGUUAUUAUAUAGUCUAUAUGGGCCCAUGUGUUCUUCUCACAUAUUUUACAAUUGUUAAGAGCCAUUUACUUAUUGAAUAUAACUGAGACAAGCACAUGCAGUUGGGAUUUAAAACUAUGUAGAAGGGGACAGAUUAAAUCCACUGUAUGCUCCUAAGCUGUUGCUAUAAUAAUUCCUACAAGGAAUGGGUUUCCUUCAGUAACACAACAAUAGUAUUAUUAUUAUGACACGAUAAUUGUGGGAUCAUAAUCUUGCAGGUCGGCUAUAAUUGCGGUAACGUCUGUCUGUUAAUCGCAGACACAACACAUACCAGGAAACUGAGACUGUUGCAAGAUGGUUAGUCCAAGAUUCCGUUGUAUGAACAUUAAUUCCUUUGUAAAACCAUAUAAUAGCCAAGCAAUCAGCAGGAUGUCUCCCCCUUGUACUUUAACAAACACCCAGUGCAUGAACUAAAAAACCUUGAUGCAUAUAACCUUAUGUAUCGGUGAUUUUCCCUUGUUUUCUUUUCUUUAAUUCCAUGAGCUAAUUGGACACACCCCACUUCAGUAUACUUUAAGAAAAAAUAAAGGAUGCCCACUUGUUGAAAUCAAGCAAAAAGGAAGAAGAGAGGAGAGAGGGACUCACAUGGAUGAGUGGCAGGCUUAGGUAAGGCCAGUGAAUAGGGGGGAGCCUCCAAUUUUUGGCCUAUACAUAUGUUAUUUCCUUAGAAGAAACUGAUGAGAUGGGAAGGAUGGUGGACAUGUUUGUGAUUUGUCGGAUUUUAUAUACAUUUAUGGGGUUAUGGAGGAGCUCAGGGCGACGAUUCUUGCUUCUCGUCACGCCUGACUACACGUGGAUAAUGACUUUUACUGUGCUCUGGUCAUCACCAUGGUUGAUCAUCCACUCUUCCUCUAUUACUGAUCUUCAUCUAUAUCCACUUCCCCCCUAUCCCCAUCCCCAUCCCCACCUUUUGUUUUCCUCCUUGUUAUAUGGCUGUACUUAAAGGUAUUAUAAGCUCCAAAGGGAUAUGUGAACAGUACCUCACUCAUCUCCUUAAGUGGCUACCUAGCGUGUAUGCCUACCCAGCUUGGCCUCCCCUGAUGUUGAAACUCACCUUUGUGUUUUCUUUUCAUGUUCCCUUUUGGUGCCAUGAGUCCUCAGUAGGGUCCUGCUUCAACCCACUUUACAUCCCCACUUUCUGCACUUUUUUGCUUGUCUCAAUUUUGGUUCCAUUAACAAAGCUUGAUGAUGAUGAUGCCCCUUUGCCUAUCUGCAAGGCAAGAGAAUAUGUCGACUUUCUUGGCAUUAAAUUUCCUAAAUGGGGAUACCAAUUAUCAGUAUUGUCUACUCUGCAAGUCUCUAGUUCUUGUAUCAUCCAUUUCACCAUGCAGUUGCAGGCAUGGAAUAACCCCAUGAUCUCUGGACCGCAAAUAAUUCUUUGCUUUAUCAUACAGUAUUCUGCACUAGGGUCUAUAGUACUUGGAUCACAUUAAGGUUAAGGCAAGGACGAAAUGACUGAUGGACGGACUAUUCAAUCAAGAUAACACUAGAGAAUUAAUUGAAACAAAAUACUUUUCAACCUUUAAUUCAUUACUUUCUUGAUUAGCCAAGUAGAUUCAUAUUGGGACAAGGUUUUUCAUACCAGUAAAACCCGAUUGUUCGCAUAUUUAUAGGCUAGAGCCUAUAAUUAUACCACCACCUGCUUUACCAGAGGCUGCUGGAUGCCUGAGGCAUCUACCUGAUUUUGGGGAUUGUGAGAUAACUGUGAGGUUUGUGUUAUGCAUUACCCACAUCCCCAAAUUUAAUCACAUCUGCUAGAUCAAUGGAUGCAGCCAGGCCUCUAACAGCUUAAUUAACCAUGCAAACAUGUUGAGGGAACCUUCAUUUGUCAUUGAGCAUUUAUUACAAGAUCAAAGAAGGCUUUAAGAGCUGAAAGUUGUGUAGAGCAGUUACUGUUAAUCUACACGAGGUUAAGGGGUUGGUGGCAAAGCACUGAUAACUUCAAAAAGGGUUUGUAAGUUGGGCCAUUGAUUGUUAGAUAGGGACUUGGAUUGUGAAGAAAUGGUUGGUUAAUUUGCAAAGUUGAGGUAAUGGACUUAAGCGGUCCAUGUGGCACUUGGCAACUUCAAGAUGCUAGAAAUGUGCGAAGGAAGGCAAUGUAAACUCUUUUAUUGUACGAAUGUGCUUUAUUAAGACUUGAUGGCCCUUAAAUGCUUGGUUUGGGAAAGCUAACUUAACAACUUCAAGUAUCUUGAAUUAUCCAAGCACCGCACAGAUAGUUAAGGAAAUGCACCAGAAUGUGACAUUAAGCUGUUUCUUUAAAUUUGCACAUGAACUCCAUCAACUUGGCUCAUGGGUUUUAGUGUUUUAGUUGGAGAAAUUAGUGAGGGAUCAAAGUUGGACUGCAAAGUUAGAAGAACGUCAAUCCCCUAGACAGCAAUUCUCAUCUCAUUUGGAGCAUAAUUUAAUUAUAUUUAUAUAGAUGAAUAGAGAGAUAUAUGAAACCCUCUGUGGGACAACUUCUCAAACCGUAAAAGCAGUGUUGUACUUGUAAUUGAAGGAUCAAGCCCAACUCUCCAUGAUAUUUGAAUAGACUUUCCAACAUACAUGUGCCUUUUCUGAUUUAUCAUUUUUUUUUUUUUAAAUGAUAAUAACCACACUUUUUCUCAAACAUGUACAAAACAUAUGUUUUUUUUAAAAAAAAAAAAAUAUAUAUAUAUAUAUAUAGAUAUAUAAUAAUAACAAGAUUGACACUUUUUCUCAAACAUGUACAACUCAUAUUUUGUCUUUUAAAACAUGUACAAACCAUGAUAUUCAUAGUUUGAAAAUUAAUGAAAAUAUUCAUCAUUAAUGUGAGGCUCAAGAAGAAAGGAUUUAGGAAGGGUUUCUAACUUCCUUUCUAGCAAUUGAAAAUUUUCAUCAAAAGAGUUAUUUUCAUAUGCUAAAAAAAUGUUAAAAUCAUUAUCAAAUAAAUUCUUAGUCUAAUUCAAAGUUCCAAGCAUUUAGGCAUAUACAUGAAAUUCUUGAAAUAAGAUGACAGCCAACCCAAACCUUAGAUCAAUCAUCCAUCAGUGCACUUGAGAGUGAUUCUUUAAAACAUUAGAUGUACUUCAUAUUCCUUAAAAGGAUUUUCUUUAAAAACAAAAAAUUAAAUGUGUGAAAAAAUUUUAAAAAUAAAAAAUGGUGCUUGUUUUUAUUUAAUGAUACUUGUUUUUAGACUUUAAAUAAUUUGUUUUUAAUUUUUCAUUUACUUAUUCCAUCUUUUAAAAAAUAUUAUUAAAAAAAAUAAACAAAAAUAUUCGACUUUUUGCUAAAUGUUAAAAAUAAUUUUUUAAAACAAUCAAAACACAAUCUCAACGUGACCCUCUACUUAUUAAU
rnacentral:lncRNA from 1 species